rnacentral:lncRNA from 1 species
CAUAAGACUGCCAAACAGAGAGUUGAUGGAAUUGACAAAGAAAAAUUUACAUACAGCUAUACUGUACUUGAAGCUGAUGGAUUUAACGAUGUAAUCGAGAAAAUCUGUUGUGUCAUCAAAUUUGAACCCUCUGCUGAUGGAGGUUCAAUCUGCAAAACCACUAACACAUACUACCCCAAAGGUGGUGCUCAGAUCGGUGAGGAACACCUCAAGGGAGGAAAAGAGAUGGGUUUGGGAAUGGUUAAGGCUGUUGAGGCUUACCUCCAUGCAAAUCCUACUGCCUACAACUAAUUAUAAUGAAUGCUACUGAAGGACUCUUCGACAUAUUUUCUUCAAGAUUGAAGUACACACUGAGGGUGUGUUUCCUUUUUUGCUUGGUUUGCUUUAAGCUGUUUGGUUAAGUUAAAAACAAAAUUGAAUCAUAGAGAGAACAAAAAAAAUAUAGUGUUUCUUAUGGAGAAAAAAAUGGAGCUGAUGCCUAAAAUCUCACAUGGAUCCAACAAGGAUAUGCUCAAAGUUGGAAAAAUGUGCUAUAAUUAUGAUUACUCCUUUAUGAAAUAAAGCUGAAAGCAGCUCAAUUUCUUUUUGUUUUCCAUAUUAUUCAAUUUCGUUGUCGAUUUUUGAUAGUUGUAUUUUUUUUAUUGCUUUAAUAAGGGCUAUGAUUGGAUAUCCUGUUAUGCCAUUGGCUGUCGAUGCUAAACCUGAUAAAUUAGAUGGAUCAUCCAAAUAAAGACAAAAUUGGCUAUGUAAACAUUGGUGAGGGACUAUUUCAGCUUAAGAAAAAUAGUUGAGGGACUAAAUUGGCUUAUAAUAAAAUUAGGGACUACUUCAGCUUUGUAAAAAUAGUUGAGAGACUAAAUUGACUCAUAAAAAGUUUAGGGACUAUUUUGACAUUAACGAAAUAGUUUUGAGACUAUAAACAUUAGGUCACAAUGUUGAAAUAUCAAAACCCAUGUUUGGGACCAAAACUCAUAGAACUUCUUCACGUCGCUAGCGAAAUUUGAUUCUGAAGUAAUGCUAAUUUUAUUUAUUAUUUGUUUCCUUGCUGGUCUUCUGUCUUUUUGGUUACAAUAUUAAAAUGUAUCCAUAAUUUUCAAUUCCAAAAGUGUUGAAUAUUUAAACGAAUUCUAGAAAGGGCACUGAGAGUCAAAAUCUUAUUCAAACAGCCAGCCAUCUCAGAGUACAUAUUUUUUUAUUAUCAGGUUCAAAAUGUAUCUAUUGCAAUUUUUGAAUGAUCAGCCAUGACUAAGAGAAUAAAAUAAUUCACUUGCUGUUUUUAGAUGUGAAUUCAUGACUGUCAGUAGUCUAUAAAUACACUUAUUGCUCACCACUCUUUGCACCGCAAAAUCUUUUCAAGAUCUAUCAAACCCUCCUGUUCUUGAUCUUUGUCCAUUUGUGAAAAAGCAAAUUAAAGCAUCAUGGCCUCUAUCACUUGUAGUGCUGAGAUGACCUCCCCAAUCCCUCCUGCAAGGUUGUUCAAGGCCGCCAUCCUUGAUGACCACCUUCUUCCCAAGAUCAUGCCACAGGCUAUUAAGAGUGGAAAUCCUUGAAGGAGAUGGUGGAGUUUGAACCAUUAAGUUGAGCACAUUUGGUGAAGGUUAGCAGUUAUAUUAAAUGUAGAACCCAAAUUUUAAGGAUCUAAUAAUAAUCAAUGCGUGCAGGGUUACAGAAUUGGAGGGAUAAAAUAAAUACUCAAAAUAUACGUGGAAGAAAAGAAAAUAAUAAAUUCAACUCAUAAUAUUAUUGAAAUUUCAAACAAUGAAGAAAAUCAUACCACAAUAAAUUCAGCUGGUUCUAAUAAUAAUCAAAGCAUACAAGGUUGCAGAAUUAAAAGGAUAAAACAAACACUCAAAAUAUAUGUGGGAGAGAAGAAAAUAAUAAAUUCAACACACAAUAUUACUGAAAUCUCAAACAAUGAAAAAAGUCACACCAUAAUAGAAAACCUUGCUAAUUCUUCUAGAUUCUUUCUCUUGAGAAACCAACCUAAAUAAUGUCCUAUUUAUAAUCUACCAAACUUGUUAGGAAAGAAACCACUUGCAUAAGAAAUUACCAAAUAAAACAGAAAUUCCUAAAUCACACAACUACUAAAAACAUAACUCAAAUAAAACUAAAAAUAAAUAAAUAUUUCUUGGCUUAGUUUAAUUUGUCAACAUUGCCUCCCUUAAACCAAACUAUCCAUUGAGAUAGGUUCAACACCAUCUCGAGCAAUAAUUUCUAUGUUGUAGUACACUUGACAUGAAACUCUAACUUGUUACCAGUUAUUAAUUUCAUUUUUACAUGUAACAAUGGACGCACUAUGUAUUUUGUAAAAAAUUUCUCAGCAAUUUCUUCUUGAUCAAAGUACUCACUUAUACAAACACAUUCAUCACCAGAAUCACCAUAUUUACCACCAAUGUAAGUGCCUAAAAAUACAAAAUCAUAGAUUGCUUUCUGGCUAAAAUUAUCAUCACCAAAUAAUUCAAAAUAACCACUACUACAAUCAUCCAAAAUUUUCAUACUGUCAGUCAACUCUUUUGGAGUAAAGUAUUUUUCAACUCCGAUGACAUCCAUAUCUAUCAAAUCAAACAUUCUCCCAUGACUUUGAAGAGAGUCCGCAACCAACGAAUUUUUCAACAACAAUUUCAUGUUCUCUUCUCUUAUCAAAUCAAAAUUUUCUUCUUCUUUUGUCAAAUUACCAUUUUAUUUUUUUCAACAAAUUCAUUACUUCUAAUUUCUCCAAACAAGGUACGCAAAUCAAAACUAUCAAUUGAUUCAAAAUUUUCAAUAUCACCCAUAUUAUCAACAAAUCUAUCAUUUUUAAAAUCCACAAACUAAUUCCAACAACUAGACUUCGGUUUGAAAGCAUAAUUUCUCUCAAUCGUGUGCAAAACAUAGUAAAUAUUCUUCCAAAAUCUCUAAAGUAUUUUAGUACAACCAAUAAAGGUUUUAUAAAUACUUUUUGCCAUUAAUUUAUGCAUCACUUGAAAGAAUAAUUGUGCCUUUUUCUUAAAAACAUGUUUUGCCAACUUACUUGCGUCAACCCAACAAAGAAUAUCAUCCAAAUUACAUUGUUUGACAUAUUUUUCCACUGUUAAAAUCCAACCAAAUAUGUAUGUAUAUUUGUGCUUAUAGGAGUCAAUAUGAAAAAUUUUUCACCGUCAAUCAGAUCUUUAUAAUAUUCCAUUAUUUAACAAUUUGUAUACCUGAAUAAAUUUUUUUCCUCCAUCCUGUCAUGUUUUCUUGGCCUCCCUGGUUGACUAACCAAAUUAUUGUUGUAUGUAUACCCAUGCUCGUCAAACCUCAUUCGUGUACACUCGUAAGGAGUGGUUCUGAGCUUAUUGUGAAUGCUCAGUACCAAGAAGUAGAAGAGAGAAUGCAUAAGAGAGAAUUAACUUGGCUAAAGAAUUAGGAAACAAUUGAGGGAUUUUUUAAGAAAUUAAUUCUCCAACUGCCACUUUUGGAAAUUUUCUAUCAACAACUAGUUACCAAAACACUAGCACAUAGUAAGAAAUCUGGAUAAUUUCAGAAACCUCCCUUGAGGCUUUUAAUAAUCUCGAGAAGCUCCCCUCAAUUUUUAAAAUUGCACGUACCAUCCCUAUUGGUGCAAAAGUACUCUACUACCCCUAAUAGGAUACUCAAAAGACUUUUUUUAUGGGAAAAAAGAAGGCCAGAAAUCCAAGCGAAAACAAAAAAAAUCAAUUUAUUUUCUCUUUUAGCCUUUUACGCUUUUGCCUUCUACCUUUGCUCACUUUCCCAUGCCAAUCUUCCUAUAACCACUUUCCCAAUCCCCUUUCCCCAACUUUUCUUCUCUACUUCAAGACCAAUUUUUGUCCAUCAAUCCUGGCUUGUGCUUUGUUCCAUUCCCUUCCCUUCUCCUUCUUUGAUUUCCCCUAUAUCUCCCCUUCUCUUUGCAAAAGUGACUAGGCUCAUCUCUCUCCUUUUUUUCCCCAUAUUUUAAGUGUAGUGGGUUUGAUUAUUUUGCAUCUAUUUUAUUUGAUUUUGGUUGAUUAUGGGUGAUAAAACUUGGUGAUGUCACAUAUUAAAAGUUUGAUAGAUGGAUAUUGGGCUUUAGACAAUGAUUUGCUGAAAAAAAUGGCCGCAAUGAGAGGAAGAGGCAAAGGGAUUUGAGUGUGGGGUUGAUUGUUGAUGAAUUGUUGUUUUGGAAAAAAUUUGAGGUUGAGUUUUAUCAAAUUUGGUAGCAAGUGGCGAGAUUUGUUCAGGUUGCGGGAAAUAAAUUGGUUUGUGGUUUCUUGGGCACCCACAGUCGUUGGAAUUGGUUUUGAUUCAAAUUAGGGUGGUUACUUGAUUUUCCUAAUAGUGUUGCUUAAAAGCACACGAUCAUCAAAAUUCCUUAUUUUUAUCUUUUAUUUUUUUUUUGUAGAAAAGAUUUCAUGACUUUCGUGAUAGUCUAAUUUGGAAGAAGGCAAUCAAGGGAUGCAAUCAACAUUUAGCAAAAGCUCUUGUUCUUUUCUUUGUAAUUUUUAGGGUAAAAAGGGUUGUUUAGGGUAUUUGAAGGAAAUGAUAGUCUAUUGGGUCUAUUUUGAAGCAUAAAUAGUGAACGUAAGGGAGGUUGGUGUUAUUUCUGAAACCUAAGGGAAUUGUCUGAAAUUGUCCGAGACCUCGGAGGAGGUUUUCAAAAUUAUCCGUAAGAAAUCAAAUGCGAAACUUGAUUCGUACACGCACACACGACACCACACCACGUCACGCGUGUGUUGAGGACUGAUGUCCGUAGCCAACGACAAGCAGGUUUUCAAUUUUUUUUUCCUUUCCUGGAUUCAGAGAUGGUGUCAGCUUCUAUUAUUGGUGAGCAGGAGGAAAUCCACAAUAUACAGUACACAUCACCCAUAUUCUUUUUAAUUGAACAAUGUAUGAAAUUAUGGUGAUUCGAAAUUAAAUUAUAUGUUUAUUGGACAACGAAUCCAAAAUAAGAGUUGGAAAUGUAUUGUGACAACAAUUGUUAACUUUGGCCACAAAUGAUCAAAAUAAAUAUUUAAGGUUUAAUAUGACAUUAUGGGUUCAAAAUAUAGUUACUUGUUAUGAAACAACUAAAAGUGCGGAUGCCCAUUUGUAUUCUCAAAAGGAUCAAUUCAUAAUUCAUUGCUCCCAAGAUGAUUAAUUCAUAAUUCAUUGCUACAUUAUGUAAAGAAAUUACAUUGGAUGAAUGGUUUCAAUCCAUAAGAGCUAUUCAUGUAUUGGAUGAACCGUUUCAUAUGGCUAUUCAUGUUCUUGUAGUAAUGAGUGUUUAAUAGAAUUGAUGUACCUUUAAUUUUAUAGUACCUAUACAUAGAGGUACCUGGCACCUCUUCGGUGUACUUUUUGAUUAGUUGGAAUAAUAAGAAAAUCAUUCUCCAUUUCUGUACUCUUUCACUAAUAUUUCAAUUCCUAUUAUAGUAGUUCAUUUUUUUUUAGUUUUACAACACGUUAUCAGUACGAGUCUCUCCUUUUAAACAAAAAGGUGAAAACGGAGCCUCUACCUUAAAAAAAAAGUGAAACACGAGAUUUUGCCGAAAUUCUGCCGUAUUUUUCCAGUAACUUCUGUCUACUUAUUGAGAAAUGGAUGCCAAAUAUUUGGGAUUAAAUGAUGGUGAUGAUGACAUUUGUCUCAUUGAUAGUGCUACUACGCGCACUAUAUUGAAAAAUAAAAAAAUUUUCUUGUAUGAAAAUGGGAGAGACAAAUGUUAAUAUCAUAAGUGGUAGUGCAAAAUUGAUUGAAAGAUUCGGAAGAGCCACUCUAUUUCUUCCUAAAGGGACUAAAAUUGUCGUAAAUAAUGCACUAUUGUCUCCCAAGUCUCGGAGAAAUUUAUUGAGUUUUAAAGAUAUCCGCAAAAACGGAUAUCAUAUUGGGACAAUGAUUGAGACAAAUGGAAAAUUUUUAUUAAUCACAAGUAUCAUUUCUAGACAGAAAUACGUAGUAGAAAAAUUACCUUCUUUUUCUUUUGGCUUAUAUUAUGCACAAAUUAGUGCAAUUGAAAUUUAUCACCUAGUAAACCAAAAGUCUAUUCAUCCCAAUAAUUUUAUCAUUUGGCAUGAUCAUUUCAGAAAUCUUGAAUCUAUAAUGAUGAGACAAAUAAUCGAGAAUUCACAUGGUCACUCAUUGAAAAAUCAAAAGAUAUUAAAAGCAAAUGAAUUCUCCUGUGUUGCUUGUUCCCACGGAAAAUUUAUUAGACCAUCACCAGCUAAAGUUGGGACUGAAUCCCCUACAUUUCUAGAACGAAUUCAUGGUGAUAUAUGUGGAUUAUUUCGAUAAUUUAUGGUGCUAAUUGAUGCAUCAUCUAGAUGGUCACAUGUAUGUUUAUUAUCUACUCCCAACCUGGCGUUUGCGAGUUUGCUUGCUCAAAUAAUUAAAUUGCGAGCACAAUUUUCAGACUAUCCAAUAAAGAAAAUUCAUCUAGAUAAUGCUGGUGAAUAUUCAUCACAUACUUUUGACGAUUAUUGCAUGUCCAUUGGAAUAACUGUUGAACAUCUUGUAACUUAUGUUCACACACAAAAUGGUCUAGCCGAAUCAUUUAUUAAACGGCUACAAUUAAUUGCUAAACCAUUGUUGAUGAGGUUUAAACUACUUUCAUCUGCUUGCGAACAUGCUAUAUUACAUGCAGCAACACUUGUGAGAAUUAGACCGACAAGUUAUCAUACUUAUUUUUCCCUACAAUUAACUUUUGGUUAUGAAUCCAAUAUUUUUCAUUUAAGAAUAUUUGGUUAUUCAGUUUGUGUUCUAAUUGCACCGCCCCGACGUUGUAAAUUGGGCUCGCAAAGAAGAUUGAAAAUAUAUGUCGGGUAUGAAUCACCUCUAAUUAUUAAGUAUAUGGAACCAUUGACAGAUGAUUUAUUUAUUGCGAGAUUUGUAGAUUGUCAUUUUGAUGAAUCAGAUUUUUCAACAUUAGGGGGGAGAUAAAAAUCAACCGAAAAAGGAAAUCACUUUAAAAAUAUCAUUGAAUUUUCUCGAUUCUCGUACAAAAGAAUGUGAACUAGAAAUUCAAAAGAUUAUACAUUUGCAAAAAAUUACAAAUCAAUUACCGGAUGCAUUUAAUGACUCCAGAAGAGUUACUAAAUCACAUAUUCCUAUUGAAAAUGCUCUGAUUAAAAUUAAUAUCCUUGAAGGACAAAUUACAAGUGCUAAUGAGUCUAAAGUGCGCCUGAAGCGUGGGAGAUUUCUUGGUUCCAAAGAUAAAAAUUUUCGAAAGAAAAGAGGAGUACAUGAAUCAACAAUUAAUGACAAAAUUUAACCUCCUGAAGAGAUCGCUCCUAAAGAGCCAAUUCUUGAAGAGAAUAAAAUCAUAGAAAAUUCAAUAAAUUUUGUCACUUCAGGGAAAAGUUGGAACCGAAAAGAAAUAAUUAUUGAUAGUAUUUUUGUAUAUAAUGUAGCACUUGAUAUUAUGGUAGAGAAUGGGGAUUACGAGCCUAAAUCGAUUGAUGAAUGUCGACGUAGAAAUGAUUGGCCAAAAUGAAAAGAUGCGAUCCAAUUUGAAUUGGACUCACUGGUUAAAAGAAAAGUUUUUGGACCUGUAGUCCAAACACCUGAAGGUGUGAAGCCAGUAGGAUAUAAAUGGGUAUUUGUGAAAAAAAAAUGAGAAAAAUGAAAUCGUGAGGUAUAAAUUAAUACUUGUAGCCAAAGGAAUUUCACAAAGGCCUGGAUUUGAUUAUGAUUACACGUAUUCACUUGUAGUGGAUGCUAUCACAUUUAGAUAUCUUGUGAGUUUUGCAGUACAUGAAAAAUCAGAUAUGCAUCUAAUGGACGUCGUUACUGCAUAUUUAUAUGAAAAUCUUGAAAAUGAUAUUUAUAUGAGAAUUCCCGAAGGAUUCAAUAUGCCUGAAACAUGCAAAUCAAAUCUUAAAAAUAUUUAUUUAAUUAAAUUACAAAAGUCUUUGUAUGGAUUCAAACAAUCUGAACGUAUGUGGUACCGCCUUAAUGAAUGUUUAACUAAAGAAGGCUAUACCAAUGAUCCAAUAUGUCCAUGUGUCUUUAUCAAGAAAAAUGGAUCAAAUUUUGUGAUAAUUGUUGUAUAUGUUGAUGAUCUAAAUAUGAUUGGAACACCUGAAAAGAUUCAAAAUAGUGUUGAAUAUUUGAAAAAAAAUUUGAGAUCAAAGAUUUUGGAAAAAUAAAAUUUUUCCUUGGUUUACAAAUUGAGCAUUUGAAAAGUGGAAUUUUGUCCACCAAACUGCUUAUACCCGGAAGGUAUUAAAGCGAUUUUAUAUGGAUAAGUCACAUACAUUAAGUAUUCCAAUGGUCAGAUCAUUAGAUCCUAAUAAGGACCCUUUUAGACCGCGAGAGGAAGAUGAAGAGAUACUUGGUCCUAAAGUACCAUAUCUCAGUGCAAUUGGUGCACUACUGUAUCUUGCUAAUUGUACAAGACUUGAUAUAUCAUUUACAAUAAAUUUAUUAGCAAGAUUUAUUUCCUCGCCCACAAGACGACAUUGGAAUGGUAUUAAACAUAUUUUUCGUUAUCUUUAAGGAACAAAUUGAUCUUGGCUUAUUUUAUUCAAAUAAAUCUAAACUUGAAUUGCUUGGUUAUGUUGAUGUUGGAUAUUUAUCUGAUUUGCAUAAAGCAAGAUCUCAGACUGGUUAUCUAUUUACAUAUGGAGGUACAACCAUUUCUUGGCGAUCUAGAAAGCAAUUAUUAGCCGCCACUUCAUCGAAUCAUGCUAAAAUAAUAGCAAUUCAUGAGGCUAGUCGAGAAUGUGUUUCGUUAAGAUCAAUGACCUACUAUAUCCGGAAGAGUUGUGGGUUAUCCUCUGAAAAAGAAAAUCCUCCGACUAUAUUUUAUGAAGAUAAUGCAGCUUGUAUAGCUCAAUUGAAAGGAGAAUAUAUUAAAGGAGAUAGAACGAAAUAUAUUUCACCAAAAUUCUUUUUUACUCAUGAUUUACAAAAGAAUGGUGAAAUUGUUGUGCAACAAAUCCGAUCAGAUAAUAAUUUGAUAGAUUUAUUUACUAAUGUAUUGCCGACUGCAAUAUUUGAGAAAUUGGUGAAGAAUAUUGGAAUGCGACGACUAUAAAAUCUCAAAUGAUAUUUGCAUCAGGGGGAGAAAUCAAUACACAAGAAUAGUGUACUCUUUUUUUUUCACUAGAGUUUUUGUCCCGUUGGAUUUUUUCCUAGUAAGGUUUUAAUAAGACAUAUUCUUUGUGUAAUUAAUAUCCAAUGGGGAGUGUUAUGAAAUAACUAAAAGUGUGGAUGUCCAUUUGUAUUCUCAAGAAGAUCAAUUCAUAAUUCAUUGCUCCCAAGAGAAUUAAUUCAUAAUUUAUUGCUACAUUAUGUAAAGGAAUUACAUUGGAUGAUCGGUUUCAAUCCAUAAGAGCUAUUCAUGUAUUGGAUGAACCAUUUCAUAUGGCUAUUCAUGUUCUUGUAGUAACGAGUGUUUAAUAGAAUUGAUGUACCUUUAAUUUUGUAGUACCUAUAUAUAGAUGUACCUUAGCUGAUAGGUUGCAAUUUUAUCAUUUAUUUUAUAAUUAAUUUCUCCUAUUACCUGACUUGAUGUGGAUUAAUUGCGGGAUUCUACUCACUUUUAGUAUUUUGCAUUUAUUUCAGGGAGUAGAGCGAAAAUAUAAUAACAGGUGCUAAUUUGACAAAAAAAGAGUCCAAGGCACAGAGCUUAUCCCGGGGGCAUUAUUGGCAAAGGAAGACUUUUGCCCAUUUUGGUAAUUUCAAAAGAAGAGAGCAGGGCAGAGGCCUCUAUUUUACUGGAGGCUGGAGCGCCGCACAAAGGGAGCUUCUUCUUCCUUCGGAGGCUCCGUCCUCUCCGCAAGGGGGCUGCCGCACACAGCAGCCAUUAGAAUAGGAGCAAUUGAUAUAUGACAGAGAAUGAGCACUAGCACCAGGGAGUUGCCUUUGUUGACUUUUCUUCCCUUUUAGUUCUUAGUAGUUGUUUUACCUUCCUCGUACGUAGGACCUUUAGCAUAGUUUCCUUUUGACUUUCCCUUGAGUCUUGGGUGGAUGUCUCCUGCGCAUGUCAGGAGCAAUUGAAGGUCUCGGUCACUUUCUGUAUUCUUCCAUCAACUGAGCGAACUGAGCUCCCUUGGUCAAGGGCAAUGGCUGCGGCUUCCUCUCCAACUUUGUGUGGGAUUCGUUCACCAGGAAUGAACUAAUUUUUCUUUUCUAGUCAAGGAACAACGGAGGUCUUGGUUGGCCUAAAUUUGUGAGAUCGAAUUAGUUUUUAUUUAUUUCCAUUAUUCACUGGUAUUUGUCUAUCUUCUGCUUUAUGUUCAUAUGGUUGUUUUAUUAUUCGAUUAUCCAGGGCCCGGAUACUAGAUUAAUUCAAUAACCUGAAGCCAAUUAGGAUAGUUAAAUCCGUAAUUGUUUAAUUAUUCUAAACUGCUGGCAACUGGCAUGAUUGGGUUUGUGUCAGGGGGAUAAACAUGCUAACUUAAAGAGACCCUCGUAGCGUGUUGAUUGGUUAGAAUUAGGCUCUUCUAAUUAUUCAUGCAAUUAGGGAAUUGAACUUCUAUGGUCGUACCUAGGGUUAUUUCCUGAUUAGAGAAAUAGUCAACGGUCGUACCUUGGCUAUCGACAAAUUGAGGAAGAGUUGGUUGUUUAUCGCGUGUAUGGCAACUAUAACUAAUUUAUCAGAUAGUAACUGGAAUAAUCCUUGCAUCUGUGAUCGAAUUAAGUGAACCAUCUCCGAAGUUGUCUCUUGGCUAGAGUUCGUCAAUUAUUAUUUUUAUUGUGAUAAUUAGUUAUUUGAGUUGUAGUUAUUUUAUUUUAUUUAUUCCAAGUAAUUUAGUUACUCUCAUUUUCAAAAACCCCCCAUAUCUGGAACUUGAGAAGAAAUUAAAUUAUCCCCAGUCCCUGUGGAUUCGACCCUGCUCACCGCUAUAUACAGAAUUUGUAUUUUAUUUGAGCAGGUAUUUAUUAUUGCACAGGUUCGGCACCUGUCAAUUUUUUGCUACAUUAUGUAAAGGAAUUACAUUGGAUGAUCGGUUUCAAUCCAUAAGAGCUAUUCAUGUAUUGGAUGAACCAUUUCAUAUGGCUAUUCAUGUUCUUGUAGUAACGAGUGUUUAAUAGAAUUGAUGUACCUUUAAUUUUGUAGUACCUAUAUAUAGAUGUACCUUAGCACCUCUUGGGUGUACUUUUUGAUUAGUUGGAAUAAUAAAAAAAUCAUUCUCCAUUUCUGUACUUCUUUCUCUAAUAUUUCAAUUCCUAUCACAGUAGUUAUUUUUUUUUAGCUUUACAACAUUACUUAAAUAAGAGAGUUAUUGGACUAUAUGUUUAUUGACCUCUACUAACUUAUUUAAGGUCAUUUCAUAUCACUAUCCAAAGAAGAAUUAAGGUCAUUUCAUAUCACUAUCCAAAGAACAAUUCUUGGGCGCUAACAUUUUUCUUACAUGACUAUUAAUGAAAGUUGACCCAAAUCUCUCUGUCUCUCUCUUUCUUUCAAUUCUUAGGACUGAUGCCAAUUCUUACCAUUUAGAAAGAAAAAUUAGAUUGUUUAUAUAUAUGAUGAGUUCCCUCUAAGUCAUGGUUAAGAAAAAUUCUUAGUUAAACGCAGUUUUAUGAAAUGUGAAUUUCCUUUUCUUUGUCUUUAUUCAUUAGUAUUAUUGGGGUUAUUGUAUUAUGAUUGCAAUGCACAGAUACAUGGAUUUUUGACAUUUUUUCUUUUUAAUUGACUCUGACUAUGCCUCAAACUCGAGACAUCAAACCUGGACACGACUUUUGUCCAAAAUGCUUGUAAAAAUUCAGAAGAAUAAUUUUGGACCUUAUUAUUUGAUAAUGGUACAAUUAUGAGAGUCAUUCCAGGUUAAUUAUCAAACUUGGAACUUGAAAAUAAUGUCGACAUCAUGUCAUUAUUAUUUUUUAGUUUCAUAGAAAAAUGAAGUAUUCUCCAACUCGACAUUAUCAUAGUAUUUUCAAUUGGCAGCUCAUGUGAGAAAGACAAGAAAUUCACAAUCAACUGGCCAAGAGAGUGCCAACAAAGAAAGCACUAAAUGGCUUAAACAAUGCAUGCAAAUUUGCUUGGCACUUAAACAAUAGACACCUAAAUCAACCAUGUCACUGUCUUGCCAAAAAAGGGCAUUAAAGUAAAAACAACUCAUGCCUACCACAGGUAACAAACUUCAGCACCUUCACUUCACUACCAUGUCAGCAACAACAUUUGCAAAUUUCCAAGGAAGUCCACGCACUAAAGGUGCCCAUGCCCUUAGGGGACCUCAGGUUAGUGUUCUUAACCUCAACUCCUGUCUUUCUGUUCUUAGGAAAUAUUGAAAUUAAACGUUAUAACUAAUCCUGAUUUCCUUGUGCUAUAUUUGUACACAAUUUGGCAACAAGGGUAAAAAAAAAUAAAAAUAAAAAGGUUUAUCUGCAAACUGUAGUUCGGCCUGGCUCUUUUUUUUUUUUUUUUUUUUGGGGAUAAGAUCAUCUCAGCACCCGCAGACCCCGUCAUGUAUCAAUAUUUCUGUACUUAGCAUUGGCUUCUUCUCGCCUGAAGAACACACGAACCACCGAAAUAGAUGGUGCAUGAAAGUGCACUUAACCCUUUUAAUUUUUCAAAACAAUCUUUUAGAAAAAAUAAUAAAAACUUUUUGAAUUUAAUUUUAGAGAAGAAGAAUUUUAAAAUUUUUUGAAUUUAAUCUUAGAGAAGAAGAAGUUUAAAAUGUACUUUAAUUUUCACAACUGAUGAUGAAAAUAGCAAAAUGUACACGGAUAGUGACAAAAGUGGGAUCACGGGCAGGAAAUCCUGAAGGUUGCGUGCAUUUUACACACGGCAUAAUUCUGUUUGUAUAUAGUGUAAUUUACUUUUUACAACGUGUAAUUUUAAAACAAAAUUUUGUAAGUCUCACACAUUUUAUUAAAAAUAAGGUACAAGAUGAAAUUUGGACCAUAUAAUUUUUUUUAAUCAAAUCUUGACCGUGAACUGCUCAGAAACGGUUUACCUGAUGACCGUCCCUGGUCCAAACCCGACAAAGGUGCCAUCUUAUCCUUUUACUGACUGGCCCGUUUUCCAAUGAGAGGGCCCAGAAGGGGUGCCUCUGCUUCAUAGUUUAUCCAUAUUGAUAUUUCUUUUCUGUCCCCCUAACUAUUAAAUGUGAAAGGUUGCCCACCAAAUUUGACGAAACCGUUUAUCCUAAUUGAUUAUUAUCAAUAGGGCAUAACUUUAAUAUUCUUCUUCCAACCCUUUCUGGUGAUUCCUGCAACUCCAGCCGUCCGUCAAUGACCAUAAAGCACCAUUAACCGACAACUAACUAACCACUAUUAAUCUAUUCUCAAAUUUUAAUGAAAUUGCACAAUCUAUUCUCAAAUCAAAUUUGAACAACAUUUUAUAGUCGAUAACUUUGAAACUUGAUAAAAAAGUCUGUUUAAACUCGGUUUAGUAAAUAAACAAAUCAAGUUUGAACAAAAUUUUAAACUCAUUAAAAUAAUUAAACACGUUUGAAUAUUAGGGUAUUCGAUUUAAUUAGACACGUUUGUAUCCCUAAUUAAAGCAUGCACUUUUAUAAGUUUAGGAAUCAACAUUAUACAUUUAAUAGCUAGCUAGAGGGUCAAAAAGUUAAUUGCCUUAAAUUCUUUUAGCAGCCAUAAGGUACAGUUGGAGGGAUUCCCUUGAAAUUGGUUAGAUUCUUCUAUGUGACUAAAGAAUUUCGGGUGUGACGCAUUACUAGUCCUACCCUAAAAAAAAAUGGUAUUACUAGUCCUUUUUUUCUUUUUUGGCGUGCCCCCGUCGUGGGAUGUGGGGAGGGGAGUCUGUGCGAGAAUUCUAGGUCGGGGUACAAGGAGCCAAAGUUCACCUUAUUCAAAGUAAACAACCGUCCAUCUCAGUUGUCGACUUUCCUGUCGAUUGCGUAUAUAUAUAUAUUACUAUCUUUUACCAUGACUUUAGAGGAUAGCUAAUUUUGCUUGCUAUUAAAUAAUAAUUUCGGUAGUCUAUAAAUACUCUUGUUCCUCACCGCUCCUAGCACCACAUAAUUCCUUCAAGAACAGCCAAAACCUUCUUGAAAUCCCUCUUUUUCCUUCUAGUUCAUUUCCAAGAAACAAAUGGCCCCUGUCACUUCCAGUUAUGAGGUCACCUCCUCAAUCCCUCCUGCAAGGUUGUUCAAGGCCACCAUCCUCGAAGAGAAGCAUCUUCACAAGAUCUUGCCACAGGGCGUUAAGAGUGUCGAAAUCCUUGAAGGAGAUGGUGGAGUUGGCACAAUUAAGUUGACCACAUUUGUUGACGGUAAGAUAAUCAAUACAAAGUGAUUAUUUUCACACAUUUGAAGUCUUCAAAUUUUUCUCUUUUUUUCCCUUUUAUUUGGGAAAAACUAAUGACUUUUUUUUUUUGGUUGGGUUAAAUAUUUAGGUGGCGAGCAUAAGACUGCCAAACAGAGAGUUGAUGGAAUUGACAAAGAAAAAUUUACAUACAGCUAUACUGUACUUGAAGCUGAUGGAUUUAACGAUGUAAUCGAGAAAAUCUGUUGUGUCAUCAAAUUUGAACCCUCUGCUGAUGGAGGUUCAAUCUGCAAAACCACUAACACAUACUACCCCAAAGGUGGUGCUCAGAUCAGUGAGGAACACCUCAAGGGAGGAAAAGAGAUGGGUUUGGGAAUGGUUAAGGCUGUUGAGGCAUACCUCCAUGCAAAUCCUACUGCCUACAACUAAUUAUAAUGAAUGCUACUGCAAGGACUCUUCGACAUAUUUUCUUCAAGAUUGAAGUAUAAACUGAGGGUGUCUGUUUCCUUUUUUGCUUGGUUUGCUUAAGCUGUUUGGUUAAGUUAUUCGCAGCAAGAGAAUAAAAUAAUUCAUUUGCUGUUUUUAGAUAUGAAUUCAUGACUGUCAGUAGUCUAUAAAUACACUUAUUGCUCACCACUCUUUGCACCGCAAAAUCUUUUCAAGAUCCAUCAAACCCUCCUGUUCUUGAUCUUUCUCCAUUUGUGAAAAAACAAAUUAAAGCAUCAUGGCCCCUAUCACUUGUAGUGCUGAGAUGACCUCCCCAAUGCCUCCUGCAAGGUUGUUCAAGGCCGCCAUCCUUGAUGACCACCUUCUUCCCAAGAUCAUGCCACAGGCUAUUAAAAGUGGAAAUUCUUGAAGGAGAUGGUGGAGUUUGAACCAUUAAGUUGAGCACAUUUGGUGACGGUUAGAUGUUAUAUUAAAUGUAGAACCCAAAUUUUAAGGAUCUAAUAAUAAUCAAUUAAUAAUAAUCAAUGCGUGCAGGGUUACAGAAUUGGAGGGAUAAAACAAAUACUCAAAUAAAUGUGGAAGAAAAGAAAAUAAUAAAUUCAACUCACAAAAUUAUUGAAAUUUCAAACAAUGAAAAAAAUCAUACCUUAAUAAAUUCAGUUGGUUUUAAUAAUAAUCAAAGCAUACAAGGUUAAAGAAUUAAAAGGAUAAAACAAACACUCAAAAUAUAUGUGGGAGAGAAGAAAAUAAUAAAUUCAACACACAAUAUUAUUGAAAUCUCAAACAAUGAAAAAAGUCACACCAUAAUAGAAAAUCUUGCAAAUUCUUCUAGAUUCUUUCUCUUGAGAAACCAACCUAAAUAAUGUUCUAUUUAUAAUCUACCAAACUUGUUAGGAAAGAAACCACUUGCAUAAGAAAUUACCAAAUAAAACAGAAAUUCCUAAAUCACACAACUACUAAAAACAUAACUCAAAUAAAACUAAAAAAUAAAUAAAUUUUUCUUGGCUUAGUUUAAUUUGUUAACAUUGCCUCCCUUAAACCAAACUAUCCAUUGAGAUAUGUUCAACACCAUCUCGAGUAACAAUUUCUAUGCAAAUCUAUGUUGUAGUAUACUUGACAUGAAACUCUAACUUGUUACCAGUUAUUAAUUUCAUCUUUACACGUAACAGUGGACGUACUAUGUAUUUUGUAAAAAAUUUCUCAACAAUUUCUUCUUGAUCAAAGUACUCAUUUAUACAAACCCAUUCAUCACCAGAAUCAUCAUAUUUACCACCAAUGUAAGUUCCUAAAAAUACAAAAUCAUUGCUUGCUUUCUCGCUAAAAUUAUCAUAACCAAAUAAUUUAAAAUAGCCACUACUACAAUCAUCCAAAAUUUUCAUACUGUCAGUCAACUCUUUUGGAGUAAAAUAUUUUUCAACUAUAAUGACAUCCAUAUCUAUCAAAUCAAGCAUUCUCCCAUCACUUUGAAGAAAGUCCGAACCAACGAAUUUUUCAACAACAAUUUCAUGAUCUCUUCUCUUAUCAAGUCAAAAUUUUCUUCUUCUUUUGUCAAAUUACCAUAUUAUUGUUUCAACAAAUUCAUUACUUCUAAUUUCUCCAAACAAGGUACGCAAAUCAAAACUAUCAAUUGAUUCAAAAUUUUCGAUAUCACCCAUAUUAUCAACAAAUCUAUCAUUUUUAAAAUCCACAAACCAAUACCAACAACUAGACUUCGGUUUGAAAGCAUAAUUUCUCUCAAUCGUGUGCAAAACAAAGUAAAUAUCCUUCCAAAAUCUCUAAAGUAUUUUAGUAUGACCAAUAAAGGUUUUAUAAAUACUUUCUGCCAUUAUUUUACACAUCACUUGAAAGAAUAAUUGUGCUUUUUUUCUUAAAAACAUGUUUUGCCAACUUACUUGCAUCAACCCAACAAAGAAUAUCAUCCAAAUUACAUUGUUUGAGAUAUUUUUCCACUGUUAAAAUUCAGCCAAAAUAUGUAUGUCUAUUUGUGUUUAUAGGAGUCAAUAUGGAAAAUUUUUCACCAUCAAUCAGAUCUUUAUAAUAUUCCAUUAUUUAACAAUUUGUAUACCUGAAUAAAUUUUUUUCCUCCAUCCUGUCAUGUUUUCUUGGCCUCCUUGGUUGACUGACCAAAUUAUUGUUGUAUGUAUACCCAUGCUUGUCAAACCUCAUUCGUGUACACUCGUAAGGAGUGGUUUUGAGCUUACUGUGAAUGCUUAAUACCAAGAAGUAGAAGAGAGAAUGCAUAAGAGAGAAUUAACUUGGCUAAAGAAUUGGGAAGCAAUUUAGGGAUUUUUUAAGAAAUUAAUUCUCCAACCGCCACUUUUGGAAAUUUCUAUCAACAACUAGUUACCAAAACACUAGGACAGCGAUCCGUCUCUAUUUUACUCUUCAAGUCUUCGCCGGGGAAGCAACCCGGCCUUGCGAGACUAUAAUGAAUAGGCACUUGCCUUCUGUUUUUACUUUUUUUUUGUUCAAAGACUAUAAUGCCCUUAUUAUUUGACUGCGCAUCUCGCAAGAUAAUGCUUUCCAUCAAAAUUAACUGUUGGGUUUGACAGAAGCGCCACGAAUAUUCUAUUUUAUUAGAUCCAGAGUCAAAAUUUUACCGUUAAUUGUUAGAGGGUUAAAACUUUAUCUGGAAAGGAGUUGGAGGGCCAUUGGAACUCUUUUUCCAAAAAAAAAAAAAAGUCACUUUUGUCAUUUGUCCAAGAACAGUUCUGGGGCCAUCUCGACAGUAUAUAUUUUUCUUACAUGCCAAGACAAUUAAUGAAAAUUGACCAAUAACACACGCACACACACACACACACACACACACUCUCUCUCUCUCUCUCUCUCUCUCUCGGUUGCUGCCAAGUCUUUCCAUUGAAAAAGGAAAAUUCAUAUUGUUUACAUAGAUAAAUUACCUCCAGUCCGUGGAAUGUCUUGAUGUUAGGUGAGUUCUAAUAUUUUGGUAUCAUCUAGAGGUGGCAAAUCAACCCACUUAACUAAAUUUACCCAUAUCCGCCCAUGAAUAGAUGGGUAUGGAUAUCUUAAAUUUUUGUAUAUGAGUAUAAAUGGGUUACCCAAUAAUACCCAUUUAAAUGGGUAACCCAUCAAACCCAAUUAACCCAUUUAGAAUUCUCUUCCCCUCAAGUCUCUUCUUUUCCCCCACCUUUUUUUUUUUCAAAUUUUUCAUUUUGUCAUGAUGUUAACUACUUUUGUUUUAUUAUUAUUAUUUGUUGGUUUUAUCUUAUUAUUUUAUUUUCUCUUAGUUUGUUAACUUACUCAUUUUUUACCAUUACCAAUUUAUGAUAAAUUUUAGCCUAUUUUCUUAUCUUUAUAAAAUGAAAUUUUAAAUUUAUAUAUGAAAAAAAUGUUAGGGGUUCAAAAAUUUUGGAUUAAGUUUUUAUAUUAAUUUUUAUAGUACUUAGUUCAAAAUUUUAUAUUCUUAUUAUUCAAUUAUUAAAUAAUAGGUAAUUUUGUGACAUAGAGUAUAAAUGAAAAAAAAUUGGUAAUUAAGUUUAUUGAACAUUAUAAGUAAAUAUUUAAAACUAAUGAUGGGUAUAAAGAGUGAUAUAAAUUGAUAACUUAGUUUGCAAAAAUGAAUUUAAAUGAGUUUGCAAAAAGUUAAAAUAAAUGGGUUAUAAAUGGGUAAUUGGGUUACCCAAUUCAUUUUUUGACUUGCCUAUUUAUACCCAUAUAAUUAAAUGGGUAUAAAUGAGUUGACUCACUUAUACCCAUUACCCAUUUUACCCAACUCAAACCCGCCCAAGUCACCCAUUUUGACACCUUUAGUAUCAUCUAAUGUUCAUUUGUGAAAGAUUGAGAAAUGAUAAAGAGCAAAACACCAAUUUAUUCCAUAAAUUAUUUUGCUAAAAUCAAAAUAGUCCAUAAAUUUUCUUUUGGCCAAAUUUUUGUCAUGAACUUUCAGAAACGGUUGCAGGGGAUUUCAUCCGGAUUGCUUGUGCAGUUGAGUAACUAUACAGAAAUUCUUUUUGGGAUGCUGAGUAUCUUAGGAUGGGUACAAUGAUCGCUUAGAUCAGUAGAGAUGAUUGAUGAUGUAGUAGGGGAAGAUUCCCUUUAUAAAGCUGAUUUUCUCAUGAUUAAUAAGAAUAUAAAUGUUACCAAAUUUUCUUUUCAAAUGUGUAACGAAAAUAUUGGCCAUGAUCAGCAAGACCUCCUUAAUUAUAAAAGUUUCUUGAAUGUCAUCAUCCAAUUUGUUUAAGCGAGGAUUUUUAAAUGCUAUCUUUAAGCAAAUUGAUUUUUGUAUUAUAGAUACUUACUACUAUUACUUCAUACCUAGCUACAAACCUCAUGUAUGUUUUAGUUUUAAUCCAGAACAAAUCAGGGCCACGGGCCACCUUGCACAUAGCGAGAGUGGAAAAAUAAAACUACACAAUUGCUUUUUUGAAGCCAGUGACUCAACUGAUUUUGCGCUCGGCAAUUCAUCCGAUUUUCAUUAAAAGGGCCCUAAGAGGCCAUUGGCGUUUUGGGCCUGUGAAAAUUUGGAUGAUUUGGUGUGUCCAAUGCAUGUGUAAGCACAAAUUUUGUUGUCUAAAAUAAAAGACAAGAAAACUUACAUAAAUAUCAAAUUUAUUAAAUUAAAUAACAAGAGGGUUACAAUAUUUGAAAAUUUUUGAAUCAAAGAAAUUAAUCUCCUAAUUUUUAUCUUCAAAAGGCUUUAAUCGGAAGGCCAAAAAGGCUUGUUCUCCGAUCAAGAGGGUGUUUUCUAUGAUUUCUAUGUAAAAAACGGCUGCUUUGAUGAUGACGUUAAUAUUUGAAUCUUUAAAUCUUCAACGCCGAUGGAAGGAGGAUUUAUUUAACUUAAUUUGGAUUUGGAUUUGAAUUUGAGGGAAAAAGCUCUCAAGAGAAUUUGACAAAGUUACUUUGAAAUUUAGGAAUUUUAAUGUAUUUUUGCCUUGAGGGAAGACCUUUAUUUAGAGUCAACAUAUGCAAGCUAUGUCUUCAAGAGAAUCCUUCAAAACCAUCUUGCGUUUGGGUAACUUGUACCUUAAGAAACCCAUUUAACUUGGAGUUAAAUAGUCGGCCGACCCAAAUAGUCAAUUGUGAAUUAACAAAUCAAUUAAAUCACUUUAAUUUAAAUGGGCAUCACAUUUUUUAUUUGAUUUAAUAGCUCAUAUAACAUUGGCUCAAUUUGUCAAUCCAAAACAUAAUGAACUUCUAUAAUUUAAUUUAAUUUAAUAAAAAUCAAUUUAAUUUACUUAAUCUUGCCUAAAAAUAAAUUAAAUAAAUUUUCGUUGUCUAUGUCCCCACUUCAAAACUUGGCAAGGCAUUGCAUGUUUAUUUGAAUUAACUUAAAACUUCUUAAUACGAUUCAUCUAAGCACCUUUAUAUAUAUAUAUAUAUAUAUAUAUAUAUAUAUAUAUAUAUUUAUUUAUUUAUUUAUAUAUAGAGGUACAGAAGACAUGUCUUUGUCUUGAAACUGUGACAAACAGGACACUUAAGACAAGGGCGUGUGAAGACUAUCGCACUAUUUGAGCGAAAAAAACCUGUUUUGCACGUAUAUUUUGAAGGUAAUCAUCUUUAUUGUCUUUUGACAACUUCAUGUUGGUCGAGUAUCAGAUAUUCACCAAAUUUUGUUGAAAUUUGUCAAAACUUGAUUUGUUUCCAAUUUGGAGAAAAAAAAAGAUUUUUUUCUUCGUUUCUGCAAUUUUCCAGGUCACUCUUUCCUAUCAACAUGUUACGAUUCAGAAAUUGAGACAAAUCUUGUACAUAGGAAUCUUUUUUAACAGCUGAUGGUUGGAAUUUAGCAGACACCUUGAAGUCAAAGAAGGCAAAUAGCAUUCCAAUAGCAUUAUUUGGUUGCAUGCCAUAUCCAAGAUUUUCACUAGUAAGCCACCAUUUUCUUGCUUUUGAUUGUUAUUCAUUCUCUGUUGCGCAAUUUUAUUUUCGCACAAUCUAUUUUUUUCGUUGAAUUUUCUCUUUUGCAAAACAGCGACCACCAAGGAAAGACAGAAAGAUUUUUUUGUUUUUGUUUUUGUUUUUGUUUUUGUUUUUUUUUUUAUGGUUGCACCUUGUGUUGGCACCCCUUAUUUGAAGCAAGUUGAUGUUCCAGUUGUGUUGGGGAUUUUAGGGCCAUAGCUCUUAGAACUCAAAAUACUAAUGUAAUUUCCGCACUCCAUGACAUUUACUUCUUGUCAAUGCCAAACUCUCCUCUUUUUUUUUGUGAUAUGAAAGGAAGAUCUCUCGUUGCAACAUAUAUGGUGGACACUCAAUUUGAAAGAAGGUGCAACCACCAACUUGCACGAGAGCCAUAUCAUGGUUUGAGGAGUAUAAUGAAAAUGAUGCAACUGCAAACUCUUAUGAGAGCCAUAUCAUGGUUGAGAAGUACAAUGAAGAUAGUGCAAUCAAAAAUUUGAAAAAGGUGCAAUCGCAAACUCCCAUGAGAGCCUAUCAUGGAUUGAGGAGUACAACGAAGAAUGUGCCACAAAAAGUUGAAAAAUGUGCAAUCGCAAACUCGCACGAGAGCCUAUCAUGGUUUGAGGAGUACAAUGAAGAAGGUGCAACUACCCACUUCAAUGAGAGCUUACCAAAACUCGAGAAGCCCUUUCAUUUAACUUCACAUUGACUAUUUAUUACUUCUCUCACUGUCUUCGAUCACACCAUUGUAAUCAAAUUUUUUUCUCUUGCUUUUGGUCCUAACGAAAUGGUGAUGGUCAAGGAAGUUACAUCUUCAAACAAAAGGCACCUCCUUAUCACUAAUAGCCAUGAUGACUCUGCUGACAAAGGAACGAAAUUAUUGGUGCAUCCCUCUAUACAAGAAAUUUACUCUGGUGAUUGGUUUUCUCACAAGUAUUCCGAAUUAAAGGAUUGGUCACUAAAAUUUUCUCAAGAUGAUGGUACGAAAGUUCACUCCUUGAAAUUCCUUAUCAUAAUAAGGAGCCAAGGACAAUUGGCAGGCGAAUCCUAGAUGAGACUAAGGGUGCAAACGAGGCAAGUCGAAUCGAGUUUUGAAGUUAUUGAGUCGAGUUACACUUAUUUAUAUGCGAGCUCGAGUUCGAGGUCGAAAAAUAGAGCUCGAACUCGGCUCGAUGUAGGAAAAGGAAAACUCGAGAUCGACUCGCUUAUGGCUCGCGAGUUUAGCUCGAAUUCUGGCUCGCGAGCAGCUCGAGUUUUGCUAGAUUUUCUGGCUCGCAUGAAGCUCGAAGUCAGCUCGAUUCUAGCUCGUUAGGAGCUCCAGUUCGAACUCGAAAACAGCUCGAUUUUCUGGAAAUUUAUGCAAGAAAACAGAAUUUUUGUCCGCAUAUUUUUGAUAAAAUUUGAGCAUGAUAACAAUAAGUUUUCACAUAUUCUUGAUCUUGAGGCCUACAAAUUAUGCACUAAUACAAUCAUAAAUGUCCAAAUGUCCACUAAUACAAAUUAUCCAAAUGUCCACAAAUGUCCACUAAUACAAAUUAUCCAAAUGUCCACAAGAAGUCUGAAGAAUACCAGCUUGUUGUCCACAAAAACCAAGGCAUGACAUGAAGCGAGAAUUUCCUGACUGCGUCCUGGAACUUUACUCAUUUCUGUCUCUAAUUCCUCAUGAUCAGUUAGUCCACCAACAUUGAACAAUAUGGAUCAGGAAUGGGGAAAAAUCACUUUCUAACACUCAAGAUCACAUACAACUCAUAUCCAACAAAUAUCCUGAAGUUUCAUGAGUAUAAUCACAUUAAAAGAGAAAAGGAUACUGACAAGCAUGCUAAUCAAACUCAAGCAGAAAAGGUACUUUCUCCUUGCCGUCUCCGACAUCCCAGCCAGCAAAUGGCUGGGGUUCGUGACAGCUGUUUGGGUCCAAUCCAUCUCCGGCAACAACUAUACCUUCUCCAAUUACUCCGACGCCCUCAAAUCACUCAUGGCCCUCACUCAGCUCCAACUCAACAACCUCUCCGUCGCCAAUUGAUGUCAUUAAAGCAGAAAAUCGGCCUGAUGGCCUCCACCAGCUGCCAUCCCUAAUCCAAGAAGGUCGAGUGUAGUAUGCUUAGGACCAAAUACAGAUGGAGUUCCCAACAUCAGUUCCUUCAAGCUAGACCCACCAUCACACGGCAGCCCUAGUCCUAGGCCUACUACCAAUGAUGCACUAUCAGACUCAAUUGCCCUCCCACUCUUCGCCCGGAAAGACAGUGGUGAAAAGAGGUAAGGAGGUGGCGGCAAAGAGCGACGGGUUAGCCAAAGUUAGAAGAUCCUCUUUUUCUAGAUUUGCAAGUUUCCUACUCUAGAGACAAAAAUGUCCUUGAUAUUUGGUCGUGCAUCUUACAAGAUAAUGCUUUCCGUCAAUUUUAACCGUUGGAUUUGACGGAAGGGCCAUGAAUAUGCUAUUUUAUUAGAUCGAGAGCCAAAAUUUUACCGUUAAUUGUUGGAGGGUUAAAACUUUAUCUGGAAAAGAGUUGGAGGGCCAUUGGAACUCUUUUUCCAAAAAAAAAAAGUCACUUUUGUCAUUUGUCCGAGAACAGUUCAGGGGCCAUCUCGACAGUAUAUAUUUUUCUUACAUGCCAAGACAAUUAAUGAAAAUUGACCAAUAACACACGCACACACACGCGCACGCACACACACACACACUCUCUCUCUCUCGGUUGCUGCCAAGUCUUUCCACUGAAAAGGAAAAUUCAUAUUGUUUACAUAGAUAAAUUACCUCCAGUCCGUGGAAUGUCUUGAUGUUAGGUGAGUUCCAAUAUUUUGGUAUCAUCUAAUGUUCAUUUGUGAAAGAUUGAGAAAUGAUAAAGAGCAAAACACCAAUUUAUUCCAUAAAUUAUUUUGCUAAAAUCAAAAUAGUCCAUAAAUUUUCUUUUGGCCAAAUUUUUGUCAUGAACUUUCAGAAACGGUUGCUUCCUGCAACCGUUGGUGAGGGAUUUCAUCCGGAUUGCUUGUGCAGUUGAGUAACUAUACAGAAAUUCUUUUUGGGAUGCUGAGUAUCUUAGGGUGGGUACAAUGAUCGCUUAGAUCAGUAGAGAUGAUUGAUGAUGUAGUAGGGGAAGAUUCCCUUUAUAAAGCUGAUUUUCUCAUGAUUAAUAAGAAUAUAAAUGUUACCAAAUUUUCUUUUCAAAUGUGUAACGAAAAUAUUGGCCAUGAUCAGCAAGACCUCCUUAAUUAUAAAAGUUUCUUGAAUGUCAUCAUCCAAUUUGUUUAAGCGAGGAUUUUUAAAUGCUAUCUUUAAGCAAAUUGAUUUUUGUAUUAUAGAUACUUACUACUAUUACUUCAUACCUAGCUACAAACCUCAUGUAUGUUUUAAUCCAGAACAAAUCAGGGCCAUGGGCCACCUUGCACAUAGCGAGAGUGGAAAAAUAAAACUACACAAUUGCUUUUUUGAAGCCAGUGACUCAACUGAUUUUGCGCUCGGCAAUUCAUCCGAUUUUCAUUAAAAGGGCCCUAAGAGGCCAUUGGCGUUUUGGGCCUGUGAAAAUUUGGAUGAUUUGGUGUGUCCAAUGCAUGUGUAAGCACAAAUUUUGUUGUCUAAAAUAAAAGACAAGAAAACUUACAUAAAUAUCAAAUUUAUUAAAUUAAAUAACAAGAGGGUUACAAUAUUUGAAAAUUUUUGAAUCAAAGAAAUUAAUCUCCUAAUUUUUAUCUUCAAAAGGCUUUAAUCGGAAGGCCAAAAAGGCUUGUUCUCCGAUCAAGAGGGUGUUUUCUAUGAUUUCUAUGUAAAAAACGGCUGCUUUGAUGAUGACGUUAAUAUUUGAAUCUUUAAAUCUUCAACGCCGAUGGAAGGAGGAUUUAUUUAACUUAAUUUGGAUUUGGAUUUGAAUUUGAGGGAUAAAGCUCUCGACAGAAUUUGACAAAGUUACUUUGAAAUUUAGGAAUUUUAAUGUAUUUUUGCCUUGAGGGAAGACCUUUAUUUAGAGUCAACUUAUGCAAGCUAUGUCUUCAAGAGAAUCCUUCAAAACCAUCUUGCGUUUGGGUAACUUGUACCUUAAGAAACCCAUUUAACUUGGAGUUAAAUAGUGGUCCGACCCAAAUAGUCAAUUGUGAAUUAACAAAUCAAUUAAAUCACUUUAAUUUAAAUGGGCAUCAUAUUUUUUAUUUGAUUAAAUAGCUCAUAUAACAUUGGCUCAAUUUGUCAAUCCAAAACAUAAUGAACUUCUAUAAUUUAAUUCAAUUUAACUAAGAUCAAUUUAAUUUACUUAAUCUUGACUAAAAAUAAAUUAAAUAAAUUUUCGUUGUCUAUGUCCCCACUUCAAAACUUGGCGAGGCAUUGCAUGUUAAUUGCUGGAGGCAAGACUUGAAGUAUUAAUUUUACUGCUGACCUAAAGUCAAACUAAAUUAAAGACUUCAAGCGUUCGGCAUACGGGUGAUCCACUUUUUUUUUUUUUUUUUUUUUUUCCUUUUUCUUUGGGAAGAGAAUGGUCCACAUCAAUUGUAGAAUUGCACCUCAAAGUCCAAUUGAAUAGGCAACGGUCACGGGUCUUCACUUUCACCUACUACUUGAAUAAAGCCUUGAAGCUCUUGAAUUUUCCAACUCUUAAUUUAGUCGUCAAUGGAAGUGCAGCCCCACAAUAUUAGACCGCAACUUUGACCCGUAGAAUUAGAAACCCCCGUUUGAUUAUGCGAUGUGGGCUCCUGCGCAGAAACUCCCAUAUGCUGAAAUUUGGAGUUUGCUCGUACGUUUCUGACCACCAAAUCUUGUUUUGGCACUUGGCAAUAUGGAAUUUGCUGAGUUUCAACGCUUCCUAAACGGAACUUUAAUGUAUUUCCAAAACCAAUGUUUGCAACUUCUGAAUAAGAAUAUGCCAAAUUUUAAGAGCUUCCCAAAUUGACUUCCAGCCAUUGAAAUUAUUCUUGGGAACCAAAUUCAAAUGAUUUCCAAAAAGUUAAACGAUAAUCACUGAAUUUAGUAUCUGUCCAAAACUUAAAACUUCUUAAUAUGAUUCAUCUAAGCACCUUUAUAUAUAUAUAUAUAUAUAUAUAUAUAUAUAUAUAUAUAGGUACAGAAGACAUGUCUUUGUCUUGAAACUGUGACAAACAGGACAUUUAUGACAAGGGCGUGUGAAGACUACCACGCUAUUUGAGGGAAAAAAAACCUGUUUGACACGUAUAUCUUGAAGGUAAUCAUCUUUAUUGUCUUUUGACAACUUCAUGUUGGUCGAGUAUCAGAUAUUCACCAAAUUUUGUUGAAAUCUGUCAAAACUUGAUUUGUUUCUAAUUUGGAGAAAAAAAAAGAUUUUUUUCUUCGUUUCUGCAAUUUUCCAGGUCACUCUUUCCUCUCAACAUGUUACGAUUCAGAAAUUGAGACAAAUCUUGUACAUAGGAAUCUUUUUUAACAGCUGAUGGUUGGAAUUUAGCAGACACCUUGAAGUCAAAGAAGGCAACUAGCAUUCCAAUAGCAUUAUUUGGUUGCAUGCCAUAUCCAAGAUUUUCACUAGUAAGCCACCAUUUUCUUGCUUUUGAUUGUUAUUCUUUCUCUGUUGCACAAUUUUAUUUUCGCACAAUCCAUUUUUUUUCUUUGAAUUUUCUCUUUUGCAAAACAGAGACCACCAAGGAAAGACAGAAAGAUUUUUUGUUUUUGUUUUUGUUUUUGUUUUUGUUUUUGUUUUUUUUUUUUAUGGUUGCACCUUGUGUUGGCACCCCUUAUUUGAAGCAAGUUGAUGUUCCAGUUGUGUUGGGGAUUUUAGGGCCAUAGCUCUUAGAACUCAAAAUACUAAUGUAAUUUCCGCACUCCAUGACAUUUACUUCUUGUCAAUGCCAAACUCUCCUCUUUUUUUUUGUGAUAUGAAAGGAAGAUCUCUCGUUGCAACAUAUAUGGUGGACACUCAAUUUGAAAGAAGGUGCAACCACCAACUUGCACGAGAGCCAUAUCAUGGUUUGAGGAGUAUAAUGAAAAUGAUGCAACUGCAAACUCUUAUGAGAGCCAUAUCAUGGUUGAGAAGUACAAUGAAGAUAGUGCAAUCAAAAAUUUGAAAAAGGUGCAAUCGCAAACUCCCAUGAGAGCCUAUCAUGGAUUGAGGAGUACAACGAAGAAGGUGCCACAAAAUGUCGAAAAAUGUGCAAUCGCAAACUUGCACGAGAGCCUAUCAUGGUUUGAGGAGUACAAUGAAGAAAGUGCAACUACCCACUUCAAUGAGAGCUUACCAAAACUCGAGAAGCCCUUUCAUUUAACUUCACAUUGACUAUUUAUUACUUCUCUCACUGUCUUCGAUCACACCAUUGUAAUCAAAUUUUUUUCUCUUGCUUUUAUUGCAAGUUGGUCCUAACGAAAUGGUGAUGGUCAAGGAAGUUACAUCUUCAAACAAAAGGUACCUCCUUAUCACUAAUAGCCAUGAUGACUCUGCUGACAAAGGAAUGAAAUUAUUGGUGCAUCCCUCUAUACAAGAAACUUACUCUGGUGAUUGGUUUUCUCACAAAUAUUCCGAAUUAAAGGAUUGGUCACUAAAAUUUUCUCAAGAUGAUGGUACAAAAGUUCACUCCUUGAAAUUCCUUAUCAUAAUAAGGAGCCAAGGACAAUUGGCAGGCGAAUCAUAGAUGAAGACACACACUGGGGUGCUUCCUUGAGAUUUAGUGAUGAAUUUGGUUAUAUCGAGAAUUAUUAGGAGCGGUUGGAAGAUAUUUUUGGAAAAAACAAACAAGUGUUUCGUGAAAAUUACUUGUUCGAUGUCUUAUAUGCUUCGCUUCUCAUAUAUAACAAAAAUUCUCAUGUGUUUAGAGCAUUUUGCGAGACAUGGUGCCUAAACACUAAUACCUUGCAUAUGUCAAUUGGAGAAUUAUCUCUCUCACUUUGGGAUCUGUGUAAAUUAGAAGGACUUCCAAUCAUCGGAUACAUCUAUGAAGAGGCGAUCCCAUGUGUAGAGGAACUAACUGGAGUUAAUGAAAAGAAGUUGAUGCAUAUUCCGCAAAAUUGUGAGUAUUUGUUCGCGGCUCUGCACUACCUUCAACAUGGAGAAUACUACAAUUAUGGAGUUUCUGCUAGCCAAUAGAUUAACUUUUGGUUUAAAGGCAACGUGAGGUAUUCAAAACCAAAACAGAGAAGGAUAAAGAGAGCAUCUAGUGCUUAAGCAACCCAAAAUCCAGAUGGAAAGAUUGGACAACCACGUAAUUUUUAAUUCAAGACAAUGGCAUAUAUGAUACCAUUGGAGACAAGUCUCACUUACGAGAAGAGACUUAUCUUGUAGCAUUUAUAUCUUGUUGACUCUACGUUUUUACUCUACCAGAUGAGGACGUCUAUUAUAUUAGACUAUCUACCUUCAAAAUGGCUAGCAUGAUGGCUGUCGGAUAUAAAACUUGCCUUGCUGUUCCUGUCUUGCUGAGUAUCUAUCACGGAUUCAAUAAAAUUUCAAAUUCAUCUACUCCAAGGUGUGCGCGUGCAUUUUUUUCAAUGCACUACGUGUAUGCUUAACUGGCGAGUUAUUUCUCUACCCAUUAUUCAACUCCGAAUAUCAUGCCUGGACCAACAAUUAUCAAUUAUUCUGGAAAGGGUGUGCACAAUAUUUUGAUGAAAAUAGUGCUUGCGACCUCAUUCAUCAAGGAGACAAAGUAACUUGGGGGACAACUUCUCUUGUGAAGAAUUAAAAUGAAUUUUUUGUUGAUGAUGGCAAGUUAGCGAACCCAGAACUGAUUUAUUUCGUAAGUGCUUGCUCAAAUUAUUUAGUCUUACAUGCUGAAGGAGAUUUUCUUGUUGAGCCAUACAGGUUUGCAAGGCAAUUCGAAUUUUAUCAAAACACCCCACAAGAACUGGGAGCAGAUGUUCAUUCUACAAAUUAUGACUUGAGUCAAAUACUUUGACACAUUGCUAUUCAUAAUAAGACAGAGUCGAAGGUAUUUUUUUCUAGUUACCCCUUGAAUGCUAACAAGCAUAUAUCUCCAGAUUUUCAAACAUGAUGUUUUGAUUAAGAGUGUCCAACCAAAUUUGAAACAGAAGAAAUCGAAAGGAAAGAAACUUGCAAAUUUGAAUAAUCCUGUCAAGGUUGGCAGUAAUCUUGAGGCGAAACAGAAAAUCACCAAGACUGUGAGGAUUGAGGAGAAAGCAUUGCAGAGCUCCAGCAACUCGUGAAAUUCUAAUUUUCAAUGAAGAAUUUUCGAAUGGUAAUUCAUUUUGUCUUCCUUCAAUAAUUGUAAAAGCCACCAAUCAUGAGUCUCGCAAUUCCAAUGAAAAGAAGAGGAGCAACUCUUUUGAUGAGAAGGAUGAGCAAUCUACUAGUACAGACUAGCACUAGAAGCAUAAGAAAUUCAAGGUAAUGACUUUCUCUUUGGAUGAUAUUGUUUUAGACCCUAAAGAAAUGUUUAAGGACAUUCUGGACAAAUAUGUGCUUGGUAUAAGUCAUGCCAAUAUUAUAAGAACAUUCUCUUGCCUUCUUUAGUUUGGCAUUUGAAAUUUACUUAUCAAUUUCAUAUUCAUGAUAUGUCUCAUAACAUUUUCCAUGUAGUUGAAUGAUCAAAACUUGAUUUUUAUUAAUGAUGGGAAAUCAAGCUAAGAAUUCGUUGAAGGACCCACUAUAUUUUAACUUUUAACAAAACAAGUGGUCAAUUCUACUCAAUAAAAGGGCAUCAUUGAAAAUUUCAAAAAGGCAGUGCAUGAUGAAAAUUCAGUUCAACAAAUCAUGCUACAGAAGAAAGAACAUGUGACUUCACCGGAGAAAAAAAAGUUCAAAAUUUUUGAUCCACAACCGUAGCCAAGGGCACCUCAAGUGUCUGAAUUUUGCCCCCAAACUAUGAUCUUAACAUGUCAUCGAGAUUACAUUCAAAUGCUCUGAAAUAAUUUGAAGGUGCUGAUAUCCGAAACAAUCCUGGAACGCAUUUCUGCUCUUAAGAUGAAAGCAAAUGAAAUCAUGGAGGAAAUGCAAAGUUUCAAUGCUAUGAAUAUUUCAAACUUGUAAGGCCUUUUAAAGCCUUUCUUUACAAAACCAAUUCGUUCUGUCGUAAUAAAGUCUUCUUUCUCAAAUAAAAUUUCAAUUGAAUCAUAUAAUGAGUUGUUUUCUAUAGCUACCCAACAUCUUAGAGAUGCUCAGAGUAAGGAGAAAUAAUAACUUAAAAAGUUCUCAACGUACAUGUUAAAAUUUAAAGAGAUUGACCAUGAGAAAAUAGAGCUAAGGAAAUGACUUGAAUCUAUGGGUACUCAUAGGAUGGAAAUACUUUCACUGCUACGAAAGAAACAAGACGAGCUUACCUAAAUGCAAGGCAAGAUGAUCAACUUAUGAAAUGAAAUUCAAAAGAUUGAAGAUUCCCUAUCUUUACUUGUUGAGGAGAGCCAAACAUUGAACAAAAUGCAAGCACUACUUGAAAGCAACUGCAAAAAACUGUCAUCAUUUGAACUUUAGAAUUAGUUACAAUCUUUUACUUUUUUCAAAUUUUAUUUAUUGUCACUUGCCUAUAUUAUAUAGCCACAGGCAUAAUUAAUUUUUUAUUUCACCAUGAAUCAUGAUUUUUUUUAUUUCAUGAUACUCUUGUGGAUAUUUCUUACUUUCCUUUGUUGCUUUCAUUAACCACCAUUUUAGACUAUCGAUUGCAAAAUAAACAAUUCAACAUUUGCAUAAUUUUAAUCACAUUUGAAGAGGUAAUUGUCUACAUAAUUUGAUAAUUUGAACAAUAUACUUUCAGGUGUAUGUUGCAAAGUAAUUUGAAUUGCCCUAAAGAGAAAAACUUUUUAUCUUUUAUUGCAUGACAUCUUUAUGGGGUUGUAACUGAAUUUCGAAGUUACCAUCUAAACUGUUUGCAUAUCCCAAAAGGGAAUAAAUUCACGUGUAGUUCCUACCAUCCACAGUUUAAUUUCUUGCAGGUCAGGAGUAUCUAUUUGCUUAUCACUUUAAACUUGGUGGAGUGUUUUAGUAGUUUAACCAUAUACUACACUAUUGGUGAUUGCCGUCCACAGUUUUAACUCAUAUGGACCAAGAGCAACAUGCAGUUUAGACUCAUGUGUCAUGAAACAACAUGCAGUUUAGGGUCAUGCGUCAUGUUGUCCUUUAUUUUUUUUAUGGCGUGUAUAAUCUUAAGAAAUUUUCAUUUAUGGGUCAACAUUUACACCAUUUUGUCAACUACCUUGUACGCGUUAUUUGUAUAAACAUUUCGGAUAAUAUAUGGUCCAUCCUAUUCGGAGACAAAUUUAUCUUUAGCAUGAUGAGUCAUAACUAUUGAUUUUCGAACGGCGAACACUAUGUCACCAAUUUGAAAGGAAUGAUGAUGAUAGCUUUAGAAAGGUAAGCCUGGUAGCAUUCAAGAUUUUGUUGAGUUUCCAAUUCCUUUUCAUCUAAAGUUUCUAAUUCUUUAAGAAGCAAGCAAAUAUUUUCUUUCUCCAUGAGCCCUUAUUGGAUGGCAAUUCUCAGAGAAAGAAUUUGUUGUUCAAGAAGCAAGACAACUUCUACACCAUAAACUAAGGCAUCAGGGGUGGCUUGCAUUGGAAUUCGAUAUGUGGUGCGAUAAACGCAGAGAGUUUCACCUAUCAUUUCAUGCCAAUCCUUCUUUGAUCUGGCCAUCACUUUUUUCAACAAGUUGCAUAGAGUUUUAUUGAAUGCCUAAACAAUACUGUUGGCAGGGACAUUAUACAUAAAGGACUUGCGAUGUUUGAAUUUAAAUUUCUCACACAACCUAUCCAUUAAACAGUUGAAGAAGGGUUUCCAUUAUCAGUGAUAAUGUGUUAGAGAAUUUCAUAACGAUAAAUAAUAUUUACACGAAUGAAAUUCACCAUAUCUUCUUUUCUCACUUGAGUGGUAUAGUUUCAUCCCAUUUAGAGAAGUAGUUGGUUGUAACCAAUAUAUAUAGAUGUUGUCCGAACGACUUAGGCAAUGGUCCAACAACAUUAAGGUCCCAGGCAUCAAAAGGCUAAGAAGUAAUAGUCAAAUGUAAUAGUUCGGGUAAUUGAUGAAUGUAAUUUGCAUAGAAUUGACAAGUUUGACACCUUUGAGCGUAUUCCAUACAAUCUUUGACCAUAGUAAGGCAAUAAUAGCCCAUCAUUUUAAUCCAAAAAUGCAACUUGGGACCGAAUUGGUGAGUUUGACAUAUUUCAAAAUGUGCCUCUUGCAUAGCUUGAUAUUCAUUAUCUUCAUUCAGACAGCGCAAGAAUACACUUUCAAAUGAUUUUUGAUAUAGCGUAUCUUUGUAUAAGAUGAAACGGGGGCACGACAAUAGAUAUCAAAUCUUUUAUGUUGCUCCUUAGGUACCUUUUGAUACUUGAUAUAAUUGAUAACAGGUUGUCUCCAAUCUUCUUUAUCAACUUCAUAAGUUGAGACGACAUAAGCAUCACCUUCCUCAAUAUUUUCAUUAUCAAAUAAUGGUGAAACUAUCCACUUUUGAUACACACGAACUUGUAUUUCAUAAUUUGACAUAGUCAGAGAAGAAGCAAGCAUAGCUAAUGCAUGAGUUUGCUUAUUUUCUCUUUUAGGGACAUGUUCAAUACUUGUACCUUCAAGUUACCUUAUAAGUUGCGUUGCAUUCUUGUGAUAUGGAAUUAAUUUAAAUUUUUUAACAUCAUAAUUUCCCAAGGGUUGACUAACGACUAAUUGUGAGUUGCCAUAGAUUUGAAACUCAAAUUAUUUCAUGUCAAUAGUUAUUUCAAGUCCGAAUAUGAGGGUUUGAUACUUAACGACAUUAUUUGAACAACGUUGAUUUAGAAUAAAGGAGUAUGGCAAAACUUCUUCAUCAGAUGUUGUAAAUACAAUUUUGACUCCAACUCCAUGACGAUGAGUAGCAGAUUUCAAUAAGGAGUACAUUUUUAUUUGGUAGAUCAUCACUUAACUCCCAUUCAACAAGUAUCGGGUGAUCAAUAAGAAAAUCUACUAGUACUUAACCCUUCACGGCCUUUUGGAAUACAUAAAUAAUUUUAAAUUAUUGUAACUAGGUACCAUUUAGCUAGACAGUUGGAUAGUGUUGGUCUACUUAUCACGUAUUUUAUGAAGUUUGCCUUGAAGAUGAGUCUCACACUGUGUGCUUGAAAGUAGUGUUUUAACUUCUAUAUUAUAAAAAUAAGAGUUAAACACAACUUUUCAAUCGGUGAGUAGUUUAAUUUAUUAGAGAUCAUCAUAAAUAAUAAAGGGCAGUUUCUUUCACUUCAUUAUUUUCUUGUGCAACCAAUACCUCCACUAAACGUUCUUGGGUAACAAUGUAAAGAAUUAAUGGCUUUCUAUAAAUAGGUUCAAUCAAGACAGAUGCCUUCAUGAGAUAAGAUUUAAUGCUAUUGAAUGUAUUGCUGUACGCUUCAUUCCAUUGGAAUGGUACACCUUUCUUCAUAAGGUGAUUAAAUGGUUGACACCUUUCAAUUAAAUUUGAGAUAAACCUCCACAGAUAGGUUAAUCGCUCUUGAAGGCUUUUUAUUUCUGAAUAUUGCGAGAUUCAGGCAUUCUCAAUAUAGCAUCAAUGUUGACUCGAUCAAUUUUAAUACCUCGAUGACAGACCACAAAAUCAAGAAACUUUCCUGAUGUAACUCUAAAUGCACAUUUGAGAGGAUUCAAUUUGAGUUGAUAUAUUUUCAACCGAUCAAAAUUUUGUUUCAAAUCCUCCAAGUGAUUAUUUCUUUUUUUUUUUAUUUAACAACCAAAUCGUCCAUAUAACAUUUAAUAUUUUUAUGAAGCAUGUCAUCAAAAAUAUUUUACAUUAAUCUUUGAUAUGUAGUUUUGAUAUUUUCAAACUAAAGGGUAUUAUGUUAUAACAAUAAAUACCCUUAGGAGUAUGAAAUCUAGUGAGUUAUUUAUCCUCAGGUGUUAUUCGAAUUUGAUUAUAGUUAGAAAAGCUAUCCAUAAACGACAAACCCUCAGACCCAAUAAUUGCAUUAAUCAUGAGUUUGGUGAUGGGUAGAGAAAAAUCAUCUUUGGAACAAGCACUGUUAAGAUCCCUAAAAUUUACGUAGAUGUGAAUUUGCCUGUUCUUCUUUCGUACAGACAUGAUAUUUGAAAUUCAUGUGAAAGACUUAAAUUCAUGAAUAAAUCCAUCAUCAGUGAAUUUAUUGAUUUCAACUUCGAUCAAAUAGACCAAAUCGGGUCUAAAUCACCAUUGUACUUACAUUACAGGUCGAACUCCCUUUUUAAUAGGUAAAUGGUGGACUGCUACUUUUGAAUUUAGACCUAACAUUUCUUUAUAAGUUCAUGUAAAAAUAUCUUGAUACUCUUGCAAGAACUCAACAUAUGUCUUCUCUUCAUCAGAAUUCAAUAAAGCACUUACCUAUAUAGGAUAUGGGUCCUGUGAAGUGCCAAAAUUGAUUUUUUAAGUCAUCUACAGUGGCCUUAACGCCUUGUUCAAAUUCAGGUGAAGCAUCUUCAACAUCUUCUUCUUCUCCAAGGGAAUUAUUAUCAAAUAUGGUUAUAUGGUUGUAUGAAACAAUACUUUCUUCAUCAUCUUCCUUUGAUCUUGUUUCUACAAUAGUAUGCUCUCUAACCUUUAGUUCAGUCCCAUAAAUUAUUAUAAGAUUUGUACAUCUCCUCAUUCUUGAGAGAAUAAUGUUACCAAACUUAUAAAUGUUAUGGGGACAAUCAAAAGAUUCUUCAAAUUCUUUCAGUGAUUUUGUCAUUCUCCAUUUAUUCUUAUGAGAAUUUUGAGACUUUUAUUUUCUUUGUGGUCCUAGUCUUUUGAAGACGAAUACUCACAGAGCCUUAUCCCUAUUUUUAUGAAAAACGUGUGACUUAUUGACUAUUUUAGAAGAUUCAUCUCUUAUAGCAAUAAAUUGACUACCAGCUCUAUUGAUUUUGAUGCGAAUUGGUACAGGUGAAAAAUAGUAAAGAUCAGAUUUAGAAUUCUUAACAGCAUAUCCUUUCCCUUUCAACAUCUUUUGAGUAAGGUUUAACCCAUAAGUCACAUCGCUAGUGGCUUGAGGAGGUUUCAAUACCAGAGAUUUCUUGAAAUCAUACCCAAUUUUGGUAAGAAGUUUAUAAGCAAUAUAAUCAAAAGCUUCAUUAAUUCUUGACGUCAGUAGCAUAUCUUGCUUGAUGUCAAACUCUUUAUUAAGAUGAUCAAACCCUUUGAUUAAAGGCGAUGGUAUAUUCGUAGCAUCAAGUUUAGCCACAGGAAGAGUUAAUCCUUUCAGAGUUUUGUGUGGAAUUGAAGAUGGUUGUCCUUGUCCCAAUCUUGACUUGGGAGGGUAUCCGAAGACAACUGAUUUAUUUUUUAACAAUGAGGCAUCAAUUUUUUUAUGAACUACCUCUUUUGAUUUUGGAAUCACCACUUUCUUCGUUUUGCACUUGAUGAUUCGAGAUCUUGGAUUUUAACCAUAGAUGGAGAUUGUUUAAACUCAUUCUUUAUGUUAUACUGAUUUAUUUUUUAACAAUGAGGCAUCAAUUUCUUUCUGAACUACCUCUUUUGAUUUUGGAAUCACCACUUUCUUCCUUUUGCACUUGAUGAUUCGAGAUCUUGGAUUUUAACCACAGAUGGAGAUUGUUUAAACUCAUUCUUUAUGUUAUAUUUUUGGAUAUAAAAUUUAGCAUUAGCGAUAUGCAUUUCUACUUCAGUGUAAAGAUUAUAAUCAGUUUUCACACUUUUUACCACUCCAUUUCGGUAAUACUUGAAAUAUUGGUGAAGAGUUGAAAGCACAACCCCAUUUUCAUGAAUCCAGGGUCUUCCCAGUAGCAUAUUAUUUAUUGUUUUAGUAUCUAUUACAUACAGUUGUGCUUUAGACAAUAUAUCAUCGAUAACUAUCUCUAAAUUUAACGAUCCAAUAGCUCUUUGCCCUCCUUGAUUAAGGUCUUGUAUUAUUAGUCAGCUUAUUGGAAAGUUUAUCAAUGGAGAUGCCAAAUUCCUUUAGAGUUUUUAAGACAAGGCUAUUGACAGCAGAACCUCUCUCUAUCAAAAUUUUAUUCACAUUUUAUUUUUUAGCAUAAACAGUUACAAACAAAGGACGGUUAUGUGAUGUUGACCCAAAAAACAAGUUGAUAGGGUGUUAAUUGUUAGUAAUUUUAUUGCUAUUUUUCCCCUUUGUCCUUGCCAAAUAUUAUUUUAAUUGUUAACAUAUACUUAUUUUUGGUAUUUGGACCAAUCUACAGGAAGUGGAACUGACAAAUGCUAAAAAGGAGAUUUUAUUGAGAAAAAUCCUUCACAUGCUAGAGCCUCCAGCGGAUAUACAAGUUGGGCCCACAUGGUGUUACAAAUUCGGUUGCUGAUGGGGAGCUCUUAUUAUUGGGAGUUGACUUGUACGUGUAGGAGUCCUCCUACCAAGAGGAAACAAGAAAAAAGGAAUUCGGCAGAGGCCCAUCUUUUGUACUUAGCUUUCUCAAUUCGGUAGGGACCAUGGACUAGAGGUUUUCAUUAGUGAUUGGACUUUAAAAGGGAAGAAACGUAUAGAGGCUUGGGGAUUAUUAUGAUUAGCGUAGCUUUAGUUUUAGUGGUUAGCUAGCGUUUCCUUUUCAUGCGCACGAGGUGCUCGACAAUAUUUUUCAACGGGAAAAAAAAACAUCUUUUACUCUUGCUUUCUAGUGAAAAACUUGAUGCCUUUGCAAUCAAUUAAUUUGCGUGGAGAUUUAAUUAUGCGGCGUGGCUAAGCCUUUUAUCUAGUCAAGGAUCAACUCGACGGCGCAGUCCCAAAUAUCUGUGAGAUCUAAUUAGUUUUCACGCGUUUCUUAAUUUGUUAAUAUUUGCAUGUUGCCUAUUUGAAUUUCCACGGGAUUAUUUUGUUAAUUGGAUAUCAAGAGCCCGAUGUUCAAUGUGACUUAUUAAUUUCCUGCCAAAUUAGUCAAUUAAAUCCGUAAUUGUUUGAUUGAUUAAUAUUAGUAGCAACUGACAUGUUUACACACUAGAAGAACGUGCAAUCUAAUUUAAAUAACCCUCGUAGCGUGUUAUUGAUUGGGAUUAGAUUUUUCUAGUUAUUAAUGCAAUUGGGAAAUUAAUUCAUACAGUUGUACCUAGGAGUAUUUUCUGGUUAGGAGUAAUCAUUGGUCGUACCUUGGUUAUCAAUAAAUUAAGGAAAAAUUGGUCGUUAGAAUUCGUCGGCGACUAUAACUAGCCUAUUAAUAAAUUAAGUGAACCUCCCUUGCAUCAAUGAUCGGGUAAGUGGACUGUGUCUGAGUAGUUGUAUUCUUAACUAAAAUUUAUCUAUUCUUGAUUUAAUUCCUGCCUAUAUUCGUGCUAAUUAAUUAUUUAUUUUUAGUGAAUUGCUUAAUUAUUUUUAGUUUUACUCCAAUAAAAUUCCUCUUUACCAAUUGGAAUCUCAAAAAGACAAAUAUUCUCAGUCCCUGAAGAGACGACCCUACUUGCCAUUGUCUACUAUUUAGUAAGUUUUGUCAACUAAUUAAUUUUGGUAUAUCGGAUUAAGCAAAUUUUUCGGGAACAGGGUGAAUUAAGUAACCUAUUGCACAUCUAGAGUCCCGGCUCUAAUAUCUAGGAUUCAUUAUUGACUGCUUUUAGUGGUAUUUAGGUUAUUAUUAUUAUUAUUGCACAGUCUCGACACCUGUCAAUUUUUGGCGUCGCUGCCAGGGACUGGCGUUAAUUAUUUGUUUUUUUAAGUUCAAUUUUGUUCUAAUUUUCUGGUAUUUUUUCUAAUUUAUGCAUCAUUCUUCUCGUAUAAGUGAAUUAAUUUUCGACCCUGAAGUAGAGAAGAUCGCGCGUAGAACGAGAAAAGAAACCAGACAAUUCAGAGAAGAGCACUCAAGUACUACAUCUCAGAGACUUGAGCCGGAAGUUGAACCGGCAAAUUCGUUUGGUAACACUUCGAGUGACUCGGAUCAAGAGAAACUCACCAUGGCAAAUGCACAAACAUUAAGGGAGUUGGCUGCUUCUAAUUUAAAUCAACAGCCUUUAUGCAUUGCUUUCCCAAGUUUGAAUGAUGACACCCUCUUUGAACUAAAAUCUGGUCUAAUUCAUCUCUUGCCAUCUUUUCAUGGUUUACCAGGUAAGGAGCCCUACAAACAUUUACAAGAGUUUGAUGUUGUUUGCAACAGUAUGAAACCCCCGGGAAUCACAGAAAAGCUGAUAAAAAUGAGGGCCCUCCCCUUCUCUUUGAAGGAUUCAGCGAAAGAUUGGCUAUACUACCUACCACCAGGUAGUAUCACCACGUGGGACCAGUUGAAAAAAAAAUUCUUAGACAAAUAUUUUCCUGCGUCUCGGGCCGCCAGCUUAAGGAAAGAGAUAUGCGGUAUCAAACAACACCCAGGCGAGUCUCUCUAUGAGUACUGCGAGAGGUUUAAGAAGCUGUGUAUCAAAUGCCCUCAGCAUCAGAUAAGUGAGCAACUGCUCAUCCAAUAUUUCUAUGAGGGACUACUCUUCACGGACUGGAGCAUAAUCGAUGUUGCCAGUAAAGGGGCGCUAGUGAACAAGACCCCUCGAAAAUCUUGGGAGUUGAUUGAGGGGAUGGCUGAAAAUUCACAGCAGUUUGGUGGGCAGUGGCGAUGGCGAAGGCUCGCGGGGGUGGAAGAGCCGUUGGCGCGACUGGGGCCGCGCGGCUGCUAGAAUCUAGUUGCAUCAGUCUCUGUGGUCCUUGGGAUCUUUGAUUCGGCUGUUCCAUAGCUUGUCGAUCCUUUGUUGCAUCCCUGUAGGCAUUGUAAUUCCUGUUGAUUGAGUUGUUAUCUAGUUUUUGAGGGCACCUCUAGUAGUUCCUUUAUUUGGGAGUUAUUUGGGGUUGAGUUGGGAGUUAUUGGCCAAUUGAUUCCUAUUUUGCUUUCGUCCUGUUUCUGGUACUGUAUGGUUUUGAUUGGGGGGUGUCUCAGUGGUUUGGGUUGCCUGUUUGAAUUGGUUCUUACCUGUGUGUGCACCAGUGGUACUGGUUGUGUUGGGAAUCCGUGACUGAUUUGUUCUUGUCCAAUUGAAGCCAUUUUGAGCAAUUUUGGGGUGAACACAUUUUGUCAUUAAUUGUUGAUUGUUGGGGGACGUUUUUGGUAACACUUGAGUUGAUAGGGUGUUAAUUAUUGGUUAUUUUAUUAUUAAUCUCCCUUUUUAUUCUUGCCAAAUAUUGCUUAAUUGUUAAUAUUUACUCAUAUUUGGUAUCUGGACUUAAUUUCAGGAAUGAAGUAGAAAACUACCAAAAAGGAGGGAUUUUAUGGAGAAUAUGGAAACUUCUAAGGGCUUCAAUUCUUGGGCCCUUGAAUUGGUGGGGACCACAAGCUAGUGAAAGGCAUUUAGUCAUUUGAGCUCUUCAAAAGAAGCUACGUAUAUUUUAUUUUAUUUUAUUUUAUUUAUUUUAUUUAUCUCUUAUUUUUUUUUAUAUAGUUUAUGGCUUCUAACACUUCGUAUUUUGGUGAUAUACUGGAUUUUGUUUCCGGGAAAGGCAAUGUGACUAGUUUUUUUGCUAAGUCUGCAUAUGCAGAGGCACUAAACUCUAUUAGAGAAAGAAUGGCUGCUGCAACCUGUAAAAUUUGUUAUACCAGGGAUCAUUCAACCGGUAUGUGCCCCGAAUAUCAAGAUAAUCUGAGUGUCCCAUUCGAUAAUUAUGGAGAAUUUUCACCCUGGUCUCAAACGUGGUACGACCCUAAUCCAAACGGGUAUGAUCAAGGAUGGUGGGAUAACUCCAAUUAUAAUUAUACAACGGGACCAAUGAAUUUUCAGCAGUAUGAGUCUCAAGAAUCGUCAUCUAUGUCAGGUAUGUCUCUUGAAGAAAUAGUUGAACCAAUAGCUACUAACACAUACCAAUUCCAACAGGAGACACAAAUGAGGAAUGAGAUGAUGAAGGAUGCAAUGAGUUAUCUGGCAGAUCAACUAUGUCUAUUGACAUCCAGAAUAAAUCGAUGGGCUUCUCAAAUGGAAGAACUGCCCUCGAAAACCAUUGUUGACCUAGAAGAAAAUGAGAGUGCAAUUUGCUUGACUAGUGAUGAGGAGAUGCAAGAGUGUCAAAAUGAAAAAUCUACAGAUACAGUUGAAAAAGAAGCCGAAAAGGAAGAAAUGGAACCCCAACCGCAACCCAUUCAAGUGAAAGAAUCCAGUGAAGAAUCAUCAAAUGUGGUGACACCACCUCCAUUCCCUAACCCGCAUUUUUUCUAACUCUUACUCUAUGAUUUCUGUUAAUGAGAUUGAUUUUGUUAUACCGGAAGUUUUUGAGUCUCAUGGCAGAAAUAAGUUGAGAGUGGAGAUGGCGAAAUAUCUUGAACCGUUGAAUGCUCUUGAUGGAGGAAUGGAUGAAGAAUUGCGAUCAAUGCUUGAUUAUGUGGCGCCAUCAACUAGUCCAUGGAAGCCCGUGGUUCGUGUGCUCAAAGAUUACUCCAUCUAUGAGGGUUACCAGGAUCAUAUUGAAGAUGAAGCAUUGAAGCGAGCUACAAGAUUUUAUCCUCCAUGAACAAGACAUAACAAUGUCUAGCCAAAGACAUUAAAGAAAGGCGUUUUUUGGGAGGCAACCCAAAUAUUGAUUUUAUUAUUUUUAGUUGUUCAAUUCUUUCGUUCUGUUGUUUCUCAUUUGGAUAGUAGUUGGUCUUGAUAUUUUUCUCCACUGUGAUCAGGAAGUGAAAUCUUGGCGUGCCCACGCGGUGUUUAGGUCUCCUGAGAUCAGAGGACGAACACCAAUCUUGGCGUGCCCACGCGGUGUUUGGGUCUCCUGAGGUCAGUGAAUGUUUUGUAAUCUUGGCAUGCCCACGCGGUGUUUGACGACCCAAAACAUGAAAAAAAAAAAGUUUCAAAAUUUCACAUUGAGAAAAUUCAAAAAUUCAAAAGGCAUUUUUCUUUUUCUUCAAAAAUUCAAAUUUUGGAAUUUCAAAUUCAGGAAAAAAUUUGAAAAAAAAACAUUGAGAAAAAAAAACCCAAAAAGAAAAAAUUAAGAUUCAAAAAAAAAAAAAAACUAUUUUUUUUUCUCUCUUUUUCUUUUUCUCUUUUCUUUUUCUUUUUUCUUUUCUUCUUUUUUCUUUCUUUCUUCCUUCACCACCGCAGCAGCUACCCCACGCGACUCUCCUCCGCCUACCCCAGCGCACAGCCCAGGCCACGCGCUCCCUCCUUCCUGCAGCCCGUCGACGAAGCCCACCAGCCACCACCAGCAGGCCGCGGCUCCUUCCCCCUUGCGCGGCCACAGCUCGCGAACCACCUCUCCCACAGCGCGCGGCCUUCUCCCUUAUCUUUUGGCCGCGCGUCAUUGGCUCGCCCAAGGGCAGCCGCCGCCGCCGUUCCUCACAGUCAAGCAAUCGCAGGCCAAAGCCCACAACCCCAGCCGGCGCCGCCCGCAGCUCCUCGUGCGUGACAGCCGUGCGACGCCGCGCCUCCCUCAGCAACAGCUCCAAGCUCCAGCUCACUCGCAGACAGCCGCGCGAUUCUCAGCCAUUCACCUCGCGCGACCCCGAGCGCACAAUUCCGCGUGCCGCCAUCGAAGACCGCCGCGCCUCUCCCUCAGCCCGCCAUUGCGCCCCACCACUGUCCCGCUGUCUACGGUUGGGCACAAGGGAGGUACUUUUAAAAGAAAUUUUUAAUUUAAAUACGAGAAUGUCAAUUUCUAAAUUCUGGGGCUGUUUAGUGAUUGUUUGGAUUUCUUGGUGGAUUUGGUUGGCCGUCUGAUUAAAUUCUUCCUUGUGUGAUAACCAGUGGUACUGGUUGGGGUCUUUCGACCAUAGUUGUUGCUUAUAUUUGGUCAGAUGUCUGCUUGUUUGAAAGUUCACGUUCUUGUGAUUGAGUUGUUGCUCAAAUUCUGAUCUGCUGUUGCUAGAACUUUUGGUUGGUUGAGUUGUGCAAUUGACUGUCCAAUUGGAGACAGUUAUUGAGAUCUUAGGUGGGAUGGUGUCCAAUUGCUAAAAUUUGUUGCUUUGUUUCGUCACUCGCACUGCUCCUAGUUUGUUCGAGUGAAAUUGGUUGGAUGUUCUUUGCCCGUGGAGUGUAACUGUUACAUUGUUUGGGGCAGUUUUUUGGUAUUGAUUGAAUUGUUGGGCGUAAAUUGCUCAGGACUUUACAUUGCUAAUUUGGUGGGCCAUUUAUUGUGCAUUACCCUUUUGAAUUGGGAGAUACCUGUGCUUAUUGGGUUUUGACUACUUGAGAUUUCUGUUGCAUCUGGGGGAUAAAAUUUGAUGACUUUUGUGCCAGUUUAUUUGUUUGGAAAUUGUUGGGGGUAAUUUGGGAGUUACUUGUCAAUUGGGUCCCGUGUUACCCUCUACCAUUCAGUGGUACUGAUUGGUGUGUUUGGCUUUAUCACAUGUCUUGGGUUGGCCAUUUGAUUUCAAUUUUCCUUGUGCAUGCACCAGUGGUACUGGUGAGGGUAGUUUACAUAAUAUUUGUUACUCCUGUGUUAUUGGUUGCCUAAUCGACUACUGGGCAUUUGUGGUUGAAUUGUUUCUGUCCAACUUCUGAACUGUUGUUGCUGGAGUGCCAUUUUCUUGGGUCAAUUGCUGAUUUUAGCAAGUUGAAGUGGGUAAUUGACUGUCCAAUUGGAGACAGUUGUUACGAUAUUGGGUCCGAUUGUGUCUAAUUGCUGGAAGUUGUUGAUUUAUUAAGACACUAGCACAGUUCCUAGUUUGUUCGAGUUGCUGUUCUGUUGCAUUAUUGGGAGCUGUGCUCUAGUAUUGUGGCUACUUUCCUGCGUUUAUUUGUUGAAUUGGGAUAUGAAUGUGCCUAUUGCUCAUUUUGUUGCAUCUAAUUGACUUGCUUGGGGUAAUCUGCCCAUCAAUUUUAAUUACUCAAGUCUUUGGAGCAGUUGUUGCACAUUUGGACUACUUUGUUUCUAUAUCUGACUGAAUUGGGACCACAAGUGCUUAUCAAUUGCAUUUGCUAUAAGUAUUGGGGUAUUCGUAUAGAUUUUAGGAGCCUGCAUUGUGCAUUUUAUUGUUUGGGUUGCCUACUAGUUACCAUGGUGAAGCCACGAUCCUCCCCCAGGGGCCGAUGACUGGCUCCAACUUUCGAUGACAGUUGAGAGACUGGAGACUCGAGUGACCCACAUUGACAUCGACUUGCAUAACAUGGCGCAGAAUUUGGCAGCACUCCGCCCGACCCGCCCCUGUUUUGACAAUUUCAAGGAAGUACCGUUGCCCUUCUCUUUACUUUUGUUGUUGGUUUAUCACAUUGAGGGCAAUGUGUGAUUUAGGUGUGGGGGGAUCAGUUUGGGUGCUAGUAUUUUUAGUUUUUAGGUUCUAGAGGUUUUUCUUUUGUUUUAGUUUGAUAUUUAGUUCUUUUUUUUUCGUCUAUUUUAUUUUAUUAUUAUUAUUUUUUUUUCUUUCUCCUUUUUUCUAGUGGUCAGUCUUCAUAUGAAUACCAAGUUUGAUACUGGAUUGUUGUCUCUAAUUCUGCUAUUGCCAAGUCUUAUUAAUAAAAGGGUAUUAAGUUAAUGUGCUUGAGUUCAGGAAUAUCUCUUUGGUGAAUAUCGGUAAUUGCUUAACUUUUUCAAUUUUUGGUUAACUUUUCUAGGCAUAGGGAAUGAUUGUUGGCAUUUUUCAUGUGAAUUGGUUCAGUUAUUAAUUUUAGUUCUCCAUGUCUGGAAAUUUGAGGCUGGCUGCUGUUAAUCUUAUGUUGCUUUUAGAUAUCGUGUUAUAUGGUUGUAAAUAAGAGUUGACUGUACUCCGCUAGUGGUUACUACUGAGUAACCGGGGAUUUUCACCUAAAGUGUCGAUUCUCGCGUCAAAAGGUAGUAGUUGCUAUGAAUGCGUGGUCCUGUAGCGAUCGGAGCUGAGUAACCGGGCUCCUCCAUCUGAUAAAUGUUGGAGUUCGCGUCAAAAGGCUCUAAAUGGCUAGAGACUAAGUCUUUUGCUAUUCCCAAAAAAAAAAAGAAAAAAAACAAGUAAAGUUUGUGUUAGUAUUUAAAAAAAAAAAAAAGAAAGUCAGCUUGCCUAUUUGUGAUCUUAAUGUCGAGAUUUUGGUUAAUAGAUGGACCAUUUGCUGAUAAAUGUGAGCAACCAUUCCUUUUCCUUAGAUUAGUUUGCUUCAAAUUGAAGGAGUUGGUGGUUUAGAGGCUAAUCGGGGUGAUUUUUCUUGGAUGUUGACCUGUGAUGCUUGAUAUUUAUUUUUCUUGGACAUCUUGGCAAUACGGUAGUUGGAGUAACAGCCAUGGUCAACUUUUGGUGUUCAAUUGUUGUUCCCAUACUUGAGGGCAAACAUGAUUUAGGUGUGGGGGGAAUUGAUAGGGUGUUAAUUAUUGGUUAUUUUAUUAUUAAUCUCCCUUUUUAUCCUUGUCAAAUAUUGCUUAAUUGUUAAUAUUUACUCAUAUUUGGUAUCUGGAUUUAAUUUCAGGAAUGAAGUAGAAAACUACCAAAAAGGAGGGAUUUUAUGGAGAAUAUGGAAACUUCUAAGGGCUUCAAUUCUUGGGCCCUUGAAUUGGUGGGGACCACAAGCUAGUGAAAGGCAUUUAGUCAUUUGGGCUCUUCAAAAGAAGUUACAUAGAGAGACUUGGAGAAAGAAGUACUUUGGAGGCUUUGUCCAUAUGUGUGGGGACCACCUAGAUAGCUUUUAGUCAUCUUUCUUUUGUUGCUUUAAAAGGGGACAACGUACAGAAGCAAAGGACAUCUAGGGCUUUAGUUUUAGUUUUUUUAGUUUAGUUCUAGUUUCCUUUCUUUGGACUGGCCUCUGACACACGCCAGGUGUUCGACAAUAUUCCCCAACGGGAAGAUUUUCUCAUGAGGCGUGGUUAAGCUUUUCUAGUCAAGGGGACAACUGACGAUUUGGUUCGACAAUUACUGUGAGAUCGAAUCUGUUUUAAUUAUUUUCUUCAUUUAUUGGUAUUUAUAUGUUCCUUGAUUUUAAUUGCUAUGGCCUUGUGUAUGAUUGAUUAGUGCGCAAUAAUUAAUUAUUCAUAUAGGCUAUUUUUGCUAAAUAGGGGUAAUUGAAUCCGUAAUUGUUCGUUAUCUCUACCUCAGUAGCAACUGGCGUAAAUGGGUUUAUGUCAGGGGAGCAUAUGAUCUAAUUUAAACAAACCCUCGUAGCGUGUUUGUUGGUUAGGAUUGGGCCUUUCUAAUUAUUAAUGCAAUCUAGAAAUUAAAUCCUACGGUCGUACCUAGGGUUGUUUUUGGGUUAGAGAAAUAGCUAACGGUCGUACCUUAGCUAUCGAGAAAUUAAGGAAGGGUUGGUUGUUUAUCGCGUGCAUGACAACUAUAACUAAUCUAUUGCUAAAUGUUGGAAUUAUUUCUGCAUCAAUGAUCAGUGCAUGAACCAUUUCUGAUGUGUACCCUUGGCUAGAGUUUCCCCAAUCAUUUCUUUUAAUUAAUUAUUUUCUGCAGUUAAUUUAUUUAGUUAGCAUUUAAUCCAAAACCCCCCAUACUUUGGACUCUAGAAGAAACGAAUUAUCCCCAAUCCCUGUGGAUUCGACCCUACUCACCGCUAUAUACAAAAUCUGUAUCUUUAUUGAGUAGGUAUUUAUUAUUGUACAGGUUCGGCACCUGUCAAUUUUGGGGUGAACACAUUUUGUCAUUAAUUGUUGAUUGUUGGGGGACGUUUUUGGUAACACUUGAGUCUAUUUUGCUGAGUUCUGUUGAUAGAGCAGUUAUUUGGCACAUUUUACAGUGUUAUUUUGUCCUAAUUUUGGCUAUUCAUGGUGUUAAGAAUUGGAAUAUCACUCAUAUUUGAUGUUUGUGUGAAUUGUAGGUGGUCGGCAUUAAAAAUGACCUCUCAAGGCAAAUUUCUAGAAGACUCUUCGUCUCAGAGCAUGGCCACGCCAGAGAAGGUCGAUGUUACCGAAAAGCCGGACCCCGGUCCACGUGAACCGCAAGGAGCACGGGAUUAAAGCUCUAAAAGGCUAGCUUUUGUUUCAAUCAAUUGGGUCAGACAUGACUUGGCUCCUAGAGGCUUCAAUUAAAAAAGAAAAGAAAGGGCCAGACGUCGAGGGAAUGAGAAUGAGGAAACUAGGUCUACAUGGACCAGCUACACGGGAUAAAAACUCCAAUGAAGAGAAGAGCUCUGCUCCGCGUGGAUUUCCCCUGCGGCACUAUAUAAGACAACAAAAAAGGUGAUGCAGCGGAGAAUAUAGAUUAGCUUUGAUUUUCUUUUCGAGAGGGGUCAGGCGAUUGCAGACUUUUGUAGCUUUUCGGUUGUGACACUUGGACUCCUUGGCUUUUGUUUUGACUCUGCACAAUUUACGUUAGUUUUUGUUCGUACACUUGCGGCACCAAAGCAAAGACGAAGGCAGUGCCUUCUCUGUUGUUACUGCAAUUAAUUCCCCUUCCCCAAUUUUCGGCGAAUAAUUGAAUGAAUUCAAUUAAAUCACGCGGGAUUGACACGAUAAGGAGCGGCUAAUUUUCUCCUCUACCCAAAGGUUGACGCGAAGGCGCGGUCCAUAAUAUCUGUGAGAUCUAAUCGAAUUUUCAUUAUUUCUUUCAAUUUAUUGCUAUUCGUACGUUUCCUGAAUUAAUUGUUCAUGAGUAUUUUACUAAUUGAAUAUCAACGGCCGGGUAUUUGAUUUAAUUUAAUAGUCUACUGCCACGUUAAUUAAAUAGAAUCCGUAAUUGUUCAUUUAGUUAACACCUCGUGGCAACCACCAUAAUUGGCUUUAUGAUGGGAAAACGCAAGAUCUAAUUUAAAUAAACCCUCUUAGCGUAUUUAUUGGUUAGGGUUGGAUUCUUCUAGCUUUAAUGCAAUUGGGUAAUUAAAUUCUCACGGUCGUACCUAGGGUUGUUAUCUGGUUAGAGAAGCAGUCAAUGGUUGUACCUUGACUAUCGAAAAAGUAAGGAAGAACUGGUUGUCAGAGCUUAUUGAUAACUAUAACCAACCUAGUGAUGAAUGGAUGAAAUACCUUUGCAUUGAUGAGCAUCUGUCUUGAGUCCAUUGAAGUGCCGUUGGUUGAGUAAUUUCUGCGUCUUUUUGUUGAAUUGGAAGGCUAUUGUGACACUUCCAUUGCACUUUCGGAAUGCAUUGUUUCUGUAUUUGACUAAAUUCAGGCCACCAGUGCUUCUUGAUUGCAAUCACUGUGCUGUUGGGGUAUUUGUACAGCUUUGAGUACCUGAAUUGUGUUUGUGUUGGUUGGAGUACCAUUUAUAGAGAAUGGUGAGACCUAAAUCCUCCUCUAGGUCUAGGACACCUAGAACUUCUCAGCCUCCUCCCACCCUAGGGGCUAACGAUUGGCUCCAACUCCGAAUGCAAGUUAAGAGACCGGAGAUUCGAGUGACCCACAUUGACAUCAACUUGCAUACCAUGGUGCAGAAUUUGGCAACAAUUAUGCACCAUGCGGGUCUUGUUCCUCAGUUUCCGUCUGACCCACCCCUGUUUUGACGACUUCAGGGAAGCACCGGUGCUCUUUUGCUUACUUUUGCUAUUAAAUUAUCACAUUGAGGGCAAUGUGUGAUUUAGGUAUGGGGGGGAUCAGUUGUGGUACUAGUAUUUCCAGUUUUUGAUUUUUAAGUGUUUUUCCUUUGUUUUUAGUUUGAUAUUUUUCUCUUUUUCGUUUAUUUCUUUUAUUCGUGAUCAGCUCUUAUUUGAAUACCAAGUUUUGAUGUUGGAUUGUUGCCUCUAAUUCUGCUCUUGCCAAGUUUUAAUAAUAAAAGGGUAUCAAGUUAAUAUGGUUGAAUUCAGGAACAUCUCUUUGGUGAAUAUCAAUAAUUGCUUAACUUUUCCAAGUUUUGGUUAACUUUUCUAGGCAUAGGGAAUGAUUGUUGGCAUUUUUCAUGUAAAUUGGUCCAAUUAUUAAUUUUAGUUCUCUAUGUUUGGAAAUUUGAGGCUGACUGCUGUUAUUUUUAGUUAUUGUGUUAUAUGAUUGUAAAUAAUAGAUAACUGUACUCCAUUAGUUGUUACUACUGAGUAACCGGGGAUUUUCACCUAAAGUGUCGAUUCUCAUGUCAAAAGGUAGCAGUUACUAUGAGUGCGUGGUCCCGUAGCGAUUGGAGCUAAGUAACCGGGCUCCUCCAUCUGUCAAAUGUUGGAGUUCGCAUCAAAACGCUCUAAGGGUUAUAAACUAAGUCUUUUGUUAUUCAAAAAAAAAAAAGAAAAAAAGAAGCAGAAGAAAACAAAAGAAGCAGAUUGUGUUAGUAUAUGAAAAAGUCAGCUUGCCGAUUUGUGAUCUUAAUAUCGAGAUUUUGGUUAAUAGUUGGACCGUUUGCUGAUAAAUAUGAGCAACCAUUCCUUUUUCUUAGAUUAGUUUGCUUUAAAUUGGAAGAGUUGGUGGUUGGGAAGCUAAUCGGGGUAAUUUUUCUUUGAUCUUGACCUGUGAUGCUUGAUAUAUGUUUUUCUGGAUAUCUUGGCAAUACGGUAGUUGGAGCAAUAGCCAUUGUCAAAUUUUGGUGUUCAAUUUCUGCUCUCAUGCUUGAGGGCAAGUAUGGUUUAGGUGUGGGGGGAAUUGAUAGGGUGUUAAUUGUUAAUAAUUUUAUUGCUAUUUUUCCCCUUUGUCCUUGCCAAAUAUUAUUUUAAUUGUUAACAUAUACUUAUUUUUGGUAUUUGGACCAAUCUACAGGAAGUGGAACUGACAAAUGCUAAAAAGGAGAUUUUAUUGAGAAAAAUCCUUCACAUGCUAGAGCCUCCAGCGGAUAUACAAGUUGGGCCCACAUGGUGUUACAAAUUCGGUUGCUGAUGGGGAGCUCUUAUUAUUGGGAGUUGACUUGUACGUGUAGGAGUCCUCCUACCAAGAGGAAACAAGAAAAAAGGAAUUCGGCAGAGGCCCAUCUUUUGUACUUAGCUUUCUCAAUUCGGUAGGGACCAUGGACUAGAGGUUUUCAUUAGUGAUUGGACUUUAAAAGGGAAGAAACGUAUAGAGGCUUGGGGAUUAUUAUGAUUAGCGUAGCUUUAGUUUUAGUGGUUAGCUAGCGUUUCCUUUUCAUGCGCACGAGGUGCUCGACAAUAUUUUUCAACGGGAAAAAAAAACAUCUUUUACUCUUGCUUUCUAGUGAAAAACUUGAUGCCUUUGCAAUCAAUUAAUUUGCGUGGAGAUUUAAUUAUGCGGCGUGGCUAAGCCUUUCAUCUAGUUAAGGAUCAACUCGAUGGUACAGUCCCAAAUAUCUGUGAGAUCUAAUUAGUUUUCACGCGUUUCUUAAUUUGUUAAUAUUUGCACGUUGCCUAUUUGAAUUUUCAAGGGAUUAUUUUGUUAAUUGGAUGUCAAGGGCCCGAUGUUCAAUAUGGCUUAUUAAUCUCCUUCCAAAUUAGUCAAUUAAAUCCGUAAUUGUUUGAUUGAUUAAUAUUAGUGGCAACUGGCGUGUUUAUACACUAGGGGAACGUGCAAUCUAAUUUAAAUAACGCUCGUAGCGUGUUAUUGAUCGGGGUUAGGUUUUUCUAGUUAUUAAUGCAAUUGAAAAAUUAAUUCCUACGAUCGUACCUAGGAGUAUUUUCUGAUUAGGAAUAAUCAAUGGUCGUACCUUGAUUAUCAAUAAAUAAAAGAAAAAUUGGUCGUUAGAAUUCGUCGGCGACUAUAACUAGCCUAUUAAUAAAUUAAGUGAACCUCCCUUGCAUCAAUGAUCGAGUAAGUGGACUGUGUCUGAGUAGUUGUAUCAUUGGCUAGAAUUUAUCUAUUCUUGAUUUAAUUCCUGCCUAUAUUCGUGCAAGUUAAUUAUUUAUUUUUAGUGAAUUUUUUAAUUAUUUUUAGUUUUACUCCGAUAAAAUCCUCCUUUAUCAAUUGGAAUCUCAAAGAGACAAAUAUCCCCAGUCCUUGAGGAGAUGACUCUACUUGCCACUGUCUACUAUUUAGUAAGUUUUGUCAACUAAUUAAUUCUGAUAUAUCGGAUUAAGCAAACUUUUCGAGAAUAGGGUGAAUCAAGUAACCCAUUACACACCUAGAGUCCCUGCUCCAGUAUUUAGGAUUAAUUAUUGACUGUUUUUAGUGGUAUUUAUAUUUUUAUUAUUAUUAUUGCAUAGGCUCGACACCUGUCAAUUUUUGUGAUGUUGACCCAAACAACAAAGGACGGGUUAUGUGAUGUUGACCCAAAUAACAAGUCUUCACUAGUGAAUGUGAUAUUUGUGAUAUCCACCUCUUUAUUACCAGUGGGCACGUGAGUUAUCUCACAAGGAGAUUCGCGAGUAUCAUCCUUUGUUCUUCAAUAUCAUCAACUUGCGUUGUGUGACAUGAGACCAUAUCAAUAUCAAAGAAUCUUUUAGAUAUGAAUUCUUUUAAAAUGAUAGAAACUCGCGACUUUUGCUUGAAUACUUGAUUUUCUUGAAGAUUGUGAUUAUUAUUAUUUUUCUCUAUAUUCUUCUCUUUUCUCUUCCAGACCAUUCUACUUCUUGUUAAGGCCUUGUUUACCUUAUUAGAUGGACGAGAGUUUCAUCUUCAUCUUCGCGUGAUCAGAGUUCAUCCAUCAUCAUCUACGUCUGAUUGUAAUGACUUCUCAUCUUCAUAUUCAUAUUUUUGAAGAGCUGAAGGGGCGAUUUUUUGUUCAACUUCUAUAGGAUCAAAUGAUCCAAAUUGAAUGGUUGGCAAUAUAGGUAUCGUAAACUUUUCGACUUCCAUGGACUGUAGUGAAUCAACGGAGGUUUGAUUCAUACUUGCUUUGUUUUUUUCAAGAAAAUUUUUUUCUUGUCUUGCCAAAUCCAUCAUCUCAUCUUUAAAGACAAAGUAUUUUUGAAUGGGAUGUCCAACCAAGCAAUGAUACUUGAUUUGGAUCAUCCGUAUUACUAAUCUCGUCAAGUCAGUUCAUCUUGGAAGCAUGAUCAAGUUCAUGCUUAACAAAUUAUCAAAUAUACUAGGAACAUCAGAAUCAAGGAAAUUGUACUUCUUGUUUUGCAUCUCCUUGAGUGUUGGUUUUUUCUUUCCUUCGUCUUGAUGCAUACUGGUUUUCUUGUCUUCUCUUUUAGCAGUUCUGAGAAUAAUCUUGAAAGGUGUUAUACUUGCAGCUAUGGCCUCUUUCUCACUUUGAUUGGGGGCUUGCCUCCUUUCCUCACUUCUUGUUUCUCCUUAGCCUUGCGAGAAUCAGGAAUUGGCGGCUCUUGUCCAUCAAGGUUAAUUUCUAUCUUAUGAGUUUUUGGGGAUAAUUCAUCAAAUAUUUCUGGUUAUACCCCUUACAAGAUAUAUCUGAAUCCCCAAUGCAAGUCUUGAAUACACAUCUCAAUAGCGGAAGACUCGAAAAUUCGAUCCUUACAGUUUAGGCUUAGAUUUUUUCGAGCGAUUGAUAAAGUUAAUAACAUGUUCAUUCUUUCACUAGCACAUAUUUUAGAGUUCAAUUAUGCUGACAGUCCUUUUCGUGCUAUAGAAGCAAUUAAGGAAUUCCUACUCUAAUUGCUCCCAACUGUCAAUGCUGCUAGAUUCUAAAUCUGUGUACCAAUCAAACGUGUUACCCUUCAAUGAGUGAACAAAUUGCUUAACUAGCAAGUCACCAUUAGUGCCAGCAUUGUUACAAUUUUCGACAAAGUGCGCAAUAUGUUGUUUAGGGUUACCUUUGUCAUCAAAUUAUUGAAACUUUGAAAAUUGAAAUCCUACAAGCAUCUUCAAACAUUUACUCUUGUGGUGUAAGGUUUGAUAUAAUUGCUAUAUGACUUGGUAUUUCCACCAAUCUUGUCCUUGAUCGUACCUUUGAUAAACUCCUUUAAAUUAUCAACAUGAAUGGUACUAUCAGGAGAGAUUGAAAACUCCUUCAUUAUUCGUGACUUGGUAUCCUCUUUCUCUUUCUUCCUUGAUGAUGAGUUACCUUCAUAUUUUUUACCAUGGCCAUUAGUUUGGCUAUUUUGGCAUCUUGACUUUGCACGUGCCCUGCUAGCCCUUCGACAAUUUGGCAAGAUUUGAAAUUUGAUCUCUACGGUUGUGGUGUUAGUCAUCAUGAUGGGCAUUACCACAGAAGUAGCUAAAUUGCUUGAGCUAUCAGCAGAUUCAUCAUGGACUCCCUUCUUGUUGGGAAAAAUCUCAAAAUUUUUUCUUUCAACCACAGCAUUCGCCUUAACCCUAUCUACUAAUUUCUUAGCCUUGCUCCUUGUCAUAGGUGUAGUAUACUGCAUCUCCUGAGUUGUUGGGAUGCCAGCAACUGAGCCUUCAAGAGCAAAACUCAUCUUCUUGGACUCCAUUGAUUCUUGAAACAAGUAAGCUAUUCAAAGAAAAGAGAUGAAAAACAGAGAUGGUCCCACCAGACGUGUCAUAAAAUUUGUGAGCAUAAAUUUUGUUGCCUAAAAUAAAGACAAGAAAAUUUGCAUAAAUAUCAAAUUUAUUAAAUCAAAUAAUAAAUGGGUUAUAAUUUUUGAAAAUUCUUGAAUUAAAGAUAUUAAUCUUCUAAUUCUUCUCUUCAAAAACUUCAAUUGAAGGGUUGAAAAGACUUGUUUACCGAUCAAGAGGGUGUUUCCUACGAUUUUGACAUAGAAAACCGCUGAUUUGAUGAUGACGUUAAAUAGUUGAUGUUGGGUUUGGAUUUUAUUCCACCAAUCGUUCAUUUUGUUGGAUUUGAGUUUUAUACCACCAACUGUGGGAUAAAACCCAAUCCCAAUAAAAUGAACGGUUGGUGGGAUAAUACUCAAAUCCAAUAAAAUGAAUGAUUGGUGGGAUAAAAUCCAAACCCAACACUUGUAUCUUUAAAUCUUCAAUGUCGAUAGAAGGAGGAUUUAUUUUAACUUGAUUUGGAUUUGAAUUUAAGGGAAAAUGCUCUCGAGAGAAUUUGACAGAAUUUCUUCAAAAUUUAGAAAUUUCAAUGUGUUUUUGUACUAAGAGAAUACCUUUAUUUAUAGGCAAAAUAUGUAGAUUAUGUCUUCAAGAAAAUUCUCCAGAACCUUCUUGCGUUUGGGUAACUUGUACCUCAAGAAACUCAUUUAACUUAGGUUUAAAUAGUGGGCCUAUUCAAAUAAUCCAUUGUGAAUUAAUACAUCAAUUAAUCCACUUUAAUUUAAAUGGGUAACACAUUGAUUUGAUUUGAUUUAAUAGCCCAUAUAUCAUUGGUCUAUUUUGUCAAUCAAAACAUAAUAGACUGCUAUAAUUUAAUUUAAUGUAAUCAAGAUCAAUUUAAUUUAUUUAAUCUUGACUAAAUAAAUUUUCUUUGUCUACAGCAUGUACGUGUAAUUUUCCAAAUAAUGAUACUUUUCAAAGAGAGUUUUCAAAUAAUGAAAGUUCUAAAACAAGGCAUUCACCGAAUGCGUGAAUGUAUCUUUUUAAACAACGCAUUUAGUCAAUACGUUUUUAAGGAAAAAUGCCUAUACAAAUAAAAGAAUGAAUUCUAUAAAUGUGUCUUUUGAGGAAACAACACAUUUACUAAGUACGUUUUUUCACUCUUUGGGAAGAAGUUCAAAAAACACCACCAUUUGAAAGGUAAUUUUAGAAAAUCCCACUUUUUGAGAAUUUACUCAAGCUUGUACUUGACAAAAUGUGUUGGGAAAAUUGUGACGUCAGGUGAAUUGUAAAACUGUUGUGCCAUCGUAAUGUAUGUUUUGCACUAGAUUGAGUAAGAAUUAUAUCAAAAUAGUCGGCCACAAUAUAGGAAUGUGAAAACUUUGUGUUAAGUAAGUUGUAAUAUUUUUGUAUCAUCUAACGUAUAUUUGAAAACGAUUGAGAAUAUAAUAUAUGGAAACAACAGGUCACAAUGUUGAAAUGUCAAACCUCUUGUUUCAAACCAAAUACUUAUUAAACUCCUUCAUAUCGCUAACGAAUUUUGAUUCUGAAGUAAUAAUAGUUUUAUUUAAUUAUUUGCCUUUUUUGGAACAAUAUUAAAAUGUAGCCAUAAAUUUAAAUUCCAAAAUUGUUGAAUACUUGAGGAAUUCUAGAAAUGGCACUGAGAGUCAAAGUUCACCUUAUUCAAAAGUCACCAGCCAUCUCAGAGUGCAUGUUUCUAUUGAGUUUCAGGUUCAAUGUGUACCCACUUCCACUUUUGGCUGAUCAAUCAGGACUAAGGUUCCGUUUGAUAAAACUGAAUCUGAAUUCUGAAAUCUGAAUACUGAAACAAUUAAUUUGCUGAAUUUUAAGUUCUGAAAAGAAAUAUAUGAAUGUCUGAAUUUUAAUGUUAAAUCUAUUUCUACUGUUUGAUAAACAUUUAUAACUGAAUGCUUAAUAAGUUAAAUUUGACAAAUUUGCCCUUAAUCUUUUCAUCCAAAAAAGAAGUAGAACCUAUGAUUUAAUUAGGUAAAAAUGUUAGGUAUGAAAAUGACAAUAUUUAUUUUUAAAUCAAAUUAAUAUAAAAGAUGAAAUAUAUUAUAUGCGGAGUGGAGAAGAUGUAAAAAUCAUUCAAAAUGGAGAAAAAAGAAAUAGAAAAUCAUUAGAUAGAGAAUAUUAGAUUGUUUAAUUAGAUAAGAAUUUUGAACAUAAUUAACAAACAAUGGUAGAUUUGAUAGAUAAGAUAAGGUAAUUGAAGUAAUUCUAUUGAUUCUUAUCAGAAUUAAGUAUUCAGUUAGGAUUUUUGUGCUGAAAAAAAUACACACAAUUUCAGCACUACUUAACAAGUUCAGCAAAUAGAUUUUCAUUUAUCAAACAUUCAAAACAUCUAAAUGUCUAAAAAAAUUUAGAUUCAACACUUUUUUAUAUUAUUAAACAGACCCUAAGAGAAUAAAAUAACUUGCUUGCUGUUAGCGAUGGCAACGGGGCGGGGUUGGGGCGGGGGACCCCUCCCCCGUCCCCCGCCCCGUUGCCUAUUAGUUCCCCCUGUCCCCCGCCCCCCCCCCCGCUUCCCCCGCGGGGUUAAUAAAAUUUUAUUAUAAUUAAAUUUUAAUAAAUAAUCAAUUACUAAAAUAUCAACACAUCACCAAAUUAUUAUUCAUUGUAAUUUUACAAUUAAAACUCAUAAAAACAAUCAAACAAAAGUUAUUUGAAUACAAUCCAAUAUGAUGAAAUAAAUAUAACUAAAAUAGUUAAGUUUUCGCUUUUAGUACAAAUGCAAUCACUAAUUCAUUAUUGUGUUUGUGCUUUUCUUUUGAGAAAAAAGUGUUAUUCUAUUAAGUGUAAUUAGAAAUUUAGUAUAAAUGUAUUAGUAAAUUUAGUAUAACUAAUUAAUAAAUUUUAUUAGUAGACAUGUAUAAUUAUUCAUAUAAUUGAUAAUAUCAAUUAUAUUACAUAAACUACUAUACAUUAUAUAAUACAUCUAACUAAUAAUAUCAUUAUCAUAAGUUUAUAACUAAUUAACUUACAUAUUAUAUAUAAUUAUAUAUAUAUUUUUUUUAGGGUGGCGCGGCGGGGGAUGGGGCGGGGGUAUACUCCCCCGUCCCCCGCCCCGUUUCUAAGCGGGGGGAAAAAUUCCCCCCCCCGCCCCAACCCCCGCCCCGAGAGCCCCCCGUGGGCACCCGCCCCCAUUGCCAUCCCUACUUGCCGUUUUUAAAAAAGGAUUCAUUAUUUUUUCUUUGAGCAUUGGUAUCUCCACCCUCAAUGACACUAAUCUGGAUUCAAUAUGAGGAGUGUCCGUAGAGGCUGACUCUUACUCGAGAGUAAAGACUUGACCCAGAGCUUUUCAAGGCGUCAUCAUAUGUAGGAGUCAAACUUAUGAACUCUGUGCAUAGAUAAUUUAGCUCCAGUCUGUGGAAUGUCUUGAUGUUAGGUGAGUUGUAAUAUUUUGGUAUCAUCUAAUGAAAUUUUUAAAAGAUUGAGAAAUAAUAUAGAGCAAAACACCAAUUUAUUCCCUAAAUUAUUUUGCUAAAAUCAAAAUACUCCGUAAAUUUAUUUUGAGUCAGUUUAGUCCCCCAACUAUUUUUACAAAGCUGAAAUAGUCCUUAAACUUUAUUAUGAGCCAAUUUAGUCUCUCAACUAUUUUGUUUAAGUGAAAUAGUACCCCACCUUUAUUUAUUUGGCCAGUUUGGUCCUUGUUUGACUCAUCCACCCAAUUUAUCAACCUUGUGCACUAACAAUCAGGGGCAAAAUAAGAAAUUUAGUCAAUGCCCUUACUAAAAUGAUAGAAGAAUUAGAUAUCUGGCAAAAUUAAAAACAAAAUUGAAUCAUAUAGAGAACAAAAAAAUAUAGUGUUUCUUAUGGAGGAAAAAAAUGGAGCUGAUGCCUAAAAUCUCACAUGGAUCCAACUCAGUCCAUUGAAUGGAGAAAAGGGAAAAUAACACAACAAGAAUAUGUUAAAAGUUGGAAAAUGUGCUAUAAUUAUGAUUACUCCUUUAAGAAAUAAAGCUGAAAGAAGCUCAAUUUCUUUUUGUUUUCCAUAUUAUUCAAUUUCGUUGUCGAUUUUUCGAUAGAUGUAUGUUUUUUUUUUUGUUUUAAUAAGGGCUAUGAUUGGAUUUCCUAUUAUGCCAUUGGCUGUCGAUGCUACACUUGAUAAAUUAGAUGGAUCAUCCAAAUAAAGACAAAAUUGGCUAUGUAAACAUUAGUGAGGGACUAUUUCAGCUUAAGAAAAAUAGUUGAGGGACUAAAUUGGCUUAUAAUAAAAUUAGGGACUAUUUCAGCUUUGUAAAAAUAGUUGAGAGACUAAAUUGACUCAUAAAAUGUUUAGGGACUAUUUUGACAUUAAGGAAAUAGUUUUGGGACUAUAAACAUUAGGUCACAAUGUUGAAAUAUCAAAACCCAUGUUUUGGACCAAAACUCAUAGAACUUCUUCACGUCGCUAACGAAAUUUGAUUAUGAAGUAAUGCUAAUUUUAUUUAUUAUUUGUUUCCUUGCUGGUCUUCUGUCUUUUUGGUUAUUCCAAAAUUGUUGAAUAUUUAAACGAAUUCUAGAAAGGGCACUGAGAGUCAAAGUCUUAUUCAAACAGCCAGCUAUCUCAAAGUACAUAUUUUUUUAUUAUCAGGUUCAAUAUGUAUCUAUUGCAAUUUUUGAAUGACCAGCCAUGACUAAGAGAAUAAAAUAAUUCACUUGCUGUUUUUAGAUAUGAAUUCAUGACUGUCAGUAGUCUAUAAAUACACUUAUUGCUCACCACUCUUUGCACCGCAAAAUCUCUUCAAGAUCCAACAAACCCUCCUGUUCUUGGUCUUUGUCCAUUUGUGAAAAAACAAAUUAAAGCGUCAUGGCCCCUAUCACUUGUAGUGCUGAGAUGACCUCCCCAAUCCCUCCUGCAAGGUUGUUCAAGGCCGCCAUCCUUGAUGACCACCCUUAAUGCCACAGGCUAUUAAGAGUGUGGAAAUCCUUGAAGGAGAUGGUGGCGUUUGAACCAUUGAGUUGAGCACAUUUGGUGAAGGUUAGAUGUUAUAUUAAAUGUAGAACCCCAAAUUUAAGGAUCUAAUAAUAAUCAAUGCGUGCAGGGUUACAGAAUUGGAGGGAUAAAACAAAUACUCAAAAUAUACGUGGAAGAAAAGAAAAAUAAUAAAUUCAACUCACAAUAUUAUUGAAAUUUCAAACAAUGAAGAAAAUCAUACCACAAUGAAUUCAACUGGUUCUAAUAAUAAUCAAAGCAUACAAGGUUACAGAAUUAAAAGGAUAAAACAAACACUCAAAAUAUAUGUGGGAGAGAAGAAAAUAAUAAAUUCAACACACAAUAUUAUUGAAAUCUCAAACAAUGAAAAAAGUCACACCAUAAUAGAAAACCUUGCUAAUGCUUCUAGAUUCUUUCUCUUGAGAAACCAACCUAAAUAAUGUUCUAUUUAUAAUCUACCAAACUUGUUAGGAAAGAAACCACUUGCAUAAGAAAUUACCAAAUAAUACAGAAAUUCCUAAAUCACACAACUACUAAAAACAUAACUCAAAUAAAACUAAAAAAUAAAUAAAUAUUACUAGGCUUAGUUUAAUUUGUCAACAUUGCCUCCUUUAAACCAUACUAUCCAUUGAGAUAGGUUCAACACCAUCUCGAGCAAUAAUUUCUAUGCAAAUCUAUGUUGUAGUACACUUGACAUGAAACUCUAACUUGUUACCAGUUAUUAAUUUCAUUUUUACACGUAACAGUGGACACACUAUGUAUUGUGUAAACAACUUCUCAGCAAUUUCUUCUUGAUCAAAGAACUCACUUAUACAAACCCAUUCAUCACCAGAAUCACCAUAUUUACCACCAAUGUAAGUGCCUAAAAAUACAAAAUCAUAGAUUUCUUUCUCGCUAAAAUUAUCAUCACCAAAUAAUUCAAAAUAACCACUACUACAAUCAUCCAAAAUUUUCAUACUGUCAGUCAACUCUUUUGGAGUAAAAUAUUUUUCAACUCCGAUGACAUCCAUAUCUAUUAAAUCAAACAUUCUCCCAUCACUUUGAAGAGAGUCCGAACCAACGAAUUUUUCAACAACAAUUUCAUGUUCUCUUCUCUUAUCAAAUCAAAAUUUUUUUCUUCUUUUGUCAAAUUACCAUAUUAUUUUUUUCAACAAAUUCAUUACUUCUAAUUUCUCCAAACAAGGUACGCAAAUCAAAACUAUCAAUUGAUUCAAAAUUUUCGAUAUCACCCAUAUUAUCAACAAAUCUAUCAUUUUUAAAAUCCACAAACCAAUACCAAUAAAUAGACUUCGGUUUGAAAGCAUAAUUUCUCCCAAUCGUGUGCAAAACAUAGUAAAUAUCCUUCCAAAAUCUCUAAAGUAUUUUAAUUAGUACGACCAAUAAAGGUUUUAUAAACACUUUUUGCCAUUAUUUUACGCAUCACUUGAAAGAAUAAUUGUGCCUUUUUCUUAAAAACAUGUUUUGACAACUUACUUGCAUCAACCCAACAAAGAAUAUCAUCCAAAUUACAUUGUUUAACAUAUUUUUCCACUAUUAAAAUCCAACCAAAAUAUGUAUGUCCAUUUGUGCUUAUAGGAGUCAAUAUGAAAAAUUUUUCACCGUGAAUCAGAUCUUUAUAAUAUUCCAUUAUUUAACAAUUUGUAUACCUGGAUAAAUUUUUUUCCUCCAUCCUGUCAUGUUUUCUUGGCCUCCCUGGUUGACUAACCAAAUUAUUGUUGUAUGUAUACCCAUGCUCGUCAAACCUCAUUUGUGUACACUCGUAAGGAGUGGUUCUGAGCUUCUUGUGAAUGCUCAGUACCAAGAAGUAGAAGAGAGAAUGCAUAAGAGAGAAUUAACUUGGCUAUAGAAAUAGGAAACAAUUGAGGGAUUUUUUAAGAAAUUAAUUCUCCAGCUACCACUUUUGGAAAUUUUCUAUCAACAACUAGUUACCAAAACACUAGCACAUAAUAAGAAAUCAGGAUAAUUUCAGAAACCUCCCUUGAGGCUUUUAAUAACCUCAAGAAGCUCCCCUCAAUAUUUUAAAAUUACACGUACCUUCCCUAUUGGUGCAAAAGUACUCUACUACCCCUAAUAGGAUACUCAAAAGACUUUUUUUUAUGGGAAAAAUGAAGCUCAGAAAUCCAAGCAAAAUCAAAAAAAUCAAUUGAUUUUCUCUUUUAGCCUUUUACACUUUUGCCUUCUACCUUUGCUCACUUUCCCAUCCCAAUCUUCCUACACCCGCUUUCCCAAUCCCCUUUCCCCAACUUUUCUCCUCUACUUCAAGACCAAUUUUUGUCUAUCUAUCCUGGCUUGUGCUUUGUUCCAUUCCCUUCCCUUCUCCUUCUUUGAUUUCGCCUACAUCUCCCUUUCUCUUUGCAAAAGUGACUAGGCUCAUGUCUCUCUUUUUCCCCCCUAUUCUAAGUGUAGUGGGUUUGAUUAUUUUGCAUCUAUUUUAUUUGAUUUGGGUUGAUUAUGGGUGAUAGAACUUGGCGAUGUCAAAUAUCAAAAGUUUGAUAGAUGGAUAUUGGGCUUUAGACAAUGAUUUGCUGAAAAAAAUGGCUGCAAUGAGACAAAGAGGCAAGGGGAUUUGAGUGUGGGGUUGAUUGUUGAUAAAUUGUUGUUUUGGACAAAAUUUGAGGUUGAGUUUUAUUAAAUUUGAUAGCAAGUGGCGAGUUUUGUUCAGGUUGCGGGAAAUAAAUUAGAUUGUGGUUUCUUGGGCACCCACAGUUGUUGGAAUUGGUUUUGAUUCAAAUUAGGGUGGUUACUUGAUUUUCCUAAUAGUGUUGCUUAAAAGCACACGAUCAUCAAAAUUCCUUAUUUUUAUCUUUUGUUUUUUCUUGUAGAAAAGAUUUCACGACUUUCGUGAUAGUCUAAUUUGGAAGAAGGCAAUCAAGGGAUGCAAUCAACAUUUAGCAAAAGCUCUUGUUCUUUCCUUUGUAAUUUUUAGGGUAAAAAGGGUAGUUUAGGGUAUUUGAAGGAAAUGAUAGUCUAUUGGGUCUAUUUUCAAGCAUAAAUAGUGAACGUAAGGGAGGUUGGUGUAAUUUCUGAAACCUAAGGGAAAUUGUCUGAAAUUGUUCGAGACCUCAGAGGAGGUUUUCGAAAUUAUCCCUAAGAAAUCAAAUGCGAAACUUGAUUAGUACACGCACACACGACACCGCACCACGCCGCGCGUGUGUUGAGGAUUGGUGUCCGUAACCAACGACAAGCAGGUUUUCAAUUUUUUUUUCCUUUCCUGGAUUCUCCAGAGAUGGUGUCAGCUUCUAUUAUUGAUGAGCAGGAGGAAAUCCACAAUAUACAGUACACAUCACCCAUAUUCUUUUUAAUUGAACAAUGUAUGAAAUUAUGGUGAUUCGAAAUUAAAUUAUAUGUUUAUUGGGCACUGAAUCCAAAAUAAGAGUUGGAAAUGUAUUGUGACAACAAUUGUUAACAUAGGCCACAAAUGAUCAAAACAAAUAUUUAAGGUUUAAUAUGACAUUAUGGGUUCAGAAUAUAGUUACUUGUUAUGAAACAACUAAAAGUAUGGAUAUCCAUUUGUAUUUUCAAGAGGAUCAAUUCAUAAUUCAUUGCUCCCAAGAGGAUUAAUUCAUAAUACAUUGCUACAUUAUGUAAAGGAAUUGCAUUGGAUGAACGGUUUCAAUCCAUAAAAGCUAUUUAUGUAUUGGAUGAACCGUUUCAUAUGGCUAUUCAUGUUCUUGUAGUAAUGAGUGUUUAAUAGAAUUGAUGUACCUUUAAUUUUGUAGUACCUAUAUAUACAGGUACUUUGGCACCUCUUGGGUAUACUUUUUGAUUAGUUGGAAUAAUAAGAAAAUUAUUCUUCAUUUCUGUACUUCUUUCUCUAAUAUUUCAAUUCCUAUUAUAGUAGUUCAUUUUUUUUAGUUUUACAACACGUUAUUAGCAUGAGUCUCUACUUUUGAACAAAAAGGUGAAAACGGAGCCUCUACCUUAAAAAAAAGUGAAACACGAGAUUCUGCCAAAAUUUUGCCCGUAUUUUUCCGGCAACUUCUGUCCACUUAUUGAGAAAUGGAUGCCAAAUAUUUGGGAUUAAAUAAUGGUGAUGAUGAUAUUUGUCUCAUUGAUAGUGCUACUACGCACACUAUAUUGAAAAAUAAAAAAAAAAUUUCUUGUAUGAAAAUGGGAGAGACAAAUGUUAAUACCAUAACUGGUAGUGCAAAAUUGAUUGAACGCUCCGGAAUAGCCUCUCUAUUUCUUCAUGAAGGGACUAAAAUUGUCGUAAAUAAUGCACUACUGUCUCCCAAGUCUCGGAGAAAUUUAUUGAGUUUUAAAGAUAUCUGCGAAAAUGAAUACUAUAUAGGGAUAAUGACUGAGACAAAUGGAGAAUUUUUAUUAAUCACAAGUAUCAUUUCUGGGCAGAAAUGCGUAGUAGAAAAAUUACCUUCUUUUUCUUCUAGCUUAUAUUAUGCACAAAUUAGUGCAAUUGAAAUUUAUCACCUAGUAGACCAGAAGUCUACUCAUCCCAAUAAUUUUAUGAUUUGGCAUGAUCGUCUCGAAAAUACUGAAUCUAUAAUGAUGAGACGAAUAAUCAAGAAUUUACAUGGUCACUCAUUGAAAAAUUAAAAGAUAUUAAAAGCAAAUGAAUUCUCCUGUGUUGCUUGUUCCCACGGAAAAUUAAUUAUUAGACCAUCACCAGUUAAAGUUGGGACUGAAUUCCCUACAUUUCUAGAACGAAUUCAUAGUGAUAUAUGUGGACUCGUAGAUCCACCAUGUGGACCAUUUCGAUAUUUUAUGGUGCUAAUUGAUGCAUCAACUAGAUGGUCACAUGUAUUUUUAUUAUCUACUCGCAACUUGAUAUUUGCGAGAUUGCUUGCUCAAAUAAUUAAAUUGCGAGCACAAUUUUCAGACUAUCUAAUAAAGAAAAUUCAUUUAGAUAAUGCUGGUAAAUAUUCGUCACAUGCUUUUGACAAUUAUUGCAUAUCUAUUGGAAUAACUAUUGAACAUCUUGUAACUUAUGUUCACACACAAAAUGGUCUAGCCGAAUCAUUUAUUAAAUGGUUACAAUUAAUUGCUAGACCAUUGUUGAUGAGGUCUAAACUUCCUUCAUCUGCUUGGGAAUAUGCUAUAUUAUAUACAGCAAUACUUGUGAGAAUUAGACCGACAAGUUAUCAUACUUAUUUUCCUCUAUAAUUAACUUUUGGUUAUAAGUCAAAUAUUUCUCAUUUACGAAUAUUUGGUUGUUCGGUUUAUGUUCGAAUUGCACGGCCCCAAUGUCGUAAAUUGGGUCCACAAAGAAGAUUGGGGAUAUAUGUCGGAUAUAAAAUCACCUUUAAUUAUUAAGUAUAUGGAACCAUUGACAGGUGAUUUAUUUACUGCAAGAUUUGCAGAUUGUCAUUCUAAUGAAUCACAUUUUUCGACAUUAGGGGGAGAUAAAAAUCAAUCGAAAAAGAAAAUCACUUGAAAAAUAUCAUUCAAUUUUCUCGAUUCUCGUACCAAAGAAUGUAAACUAGAAGUUCAAAGGAUUAUACAUUUGCAAAAAAUUACAAAUCAACUACUGGACGUAUUUAAUGACUCCAGAAGAGUUAUUAAAUCACAUAUUUUUAUUGAAAAUACUCCGAUUAAAAUUAAUGUCCUUGAAGGACAAAUUACAAGUGUUAAUGAGUGUAAAGUGCGCCUGAAGCGUGGGAGACCUCUUGGUUCUAAAGAUAAAAAUUCUCGAAAGAAAAGAGAAAUUGAUGAAUCAACAAUUAGUGACAAAAUUCAACCUCCUGAAGAAGUCGCUCCUAAAGAGCCAAUUCUUGAAGAUAAUGAAAUUAUAGAAAAUUCAAUAAAUUUUGUCGCUUCAGGAAAAAGUUGGAACAAAAAAAAAUUAUUAAUAGUAUUUUUGCAUAUAAUGUAGCACUUGUUAUUAUGGUAGGUAAUGAAGAUCGUGAGCAUAGAUCGGUUGAUGAAUGUCGACGUAGAAAUGAUUGGCCAAAAUGGAAAGAUGCGAUUCAAUCUGAAUUGGACUUACUAGCUACAAGAAAAGUUUUUGGGCCUGUAGUCCAAACACCUGAAGGUGUAAAGUCAGUAGGAUAUAAAUGGGCAUUUGUGAGAAAAAGAAAUGAGAAAAAUGAAAUCGUGAGGUAUAAAGCAAGACUUGCAACCCAAGGAUUUUCACAAAGGCCUGGAUUUGAUUAUGAUUACACGUAUUCACCUGUAGUGGAUGCUAUCACAUUUAGAUAUCUUGUGAGUUUUGCAGGACAUGAAAAAUCAGAUAUGCAUCUAAUGGACGUCGUUACUGUAUAUUUAUAUGAAAAUUUUGAAAAUGAUAUUUAAACGAGAAUCCCUGAAGGAUUCAACAUGCCUGAAGCAUGCAAAUCAAAUUUUAAAGAUAUUUAUACUAUUAAAUUACAAAGGUAUUUGUAUGGGUUCAAACAAUCUGGACGUAUGUGGUACCGCCUCAAUGAAUGUUUAACUAAAGAAGGCUAUACCAAUAAUCUAAUACAUCCAUGUGUCUUUAUCAAGAAAAAUGGACUAAUUUUAUGAUAAUUGUUGUCUAUGUUGAUAAUCUUAAUCUGAUUGGAACUCUUGAAGAGAUUCAAAAUAGUGUUGAAUAUUUGAAGAAGAAGUUUGAAAUCAAAGAUUUUGGAAAAACAAAAUUCUACAUUGAUUUACAAAUUGAGUGAUAGGUUGCAAUUUUAUCAUUUAUUUUAUUAUUAAUUUUCCCUAUUACUUAACCCAAUGUGAAUUAAUUAUUAGAUUCUACUCACUUUUAGUAUUUUACAUAUAUUUCAGGGAGUAGAACGAAAAUACCAUAAUAAGUGCCGAUUUGACAGUUAUCAGGAAAGAGUUCAAGUAGCAGGCAUCCAGGGCAUUUUUGGAACAAGGAGAUACAAGUCCUUUUUGGUAAUUCGCAGAGCGCAGCAUUAAAAGGAGGAACGAAGGGCUGAAGUAGGGAGUCUUCUUCCCCCUGGGAGGAACCGCCGCACAGCAGAGGGCUGUCUGGUCCUCUUAGUUUUUCCGUUUCUUUAGUUUUAGCUUCGGAUUUUGACUUUUCUUCUCGUAGGAAUUUUGGGUAGCCUUGAGCUUAGCAACUUUUGUUGACCCUUUUUUGGCCUUUUAGCUAGUUUGUUCUUACGCAUGGAAGAUGGCUGAAUAGCUGAGGCUUGUUCUUUGUUUUUCUUUGACUUUUCCUUUUGGUUUGCUUCCUGCGGACGCCCAGACCGAAGGAAAACUAUGAAGUCCCUUUUGUAGCUUUCUCUCUUUAUUAAAUAGACGAAUUGAAUUCCCUCAACUUGCGAAUUGAUGGCCGCAGCUUUUGCUUCAAUUUCUUGUGGGUUUAGUUCAUUAAUUAUGAACUAAUUCUACAAUUCUAGUCAAGGGGACAACUGACGAUUUGGUUCGACAAUUACUGUGAGAUCGAAUCUGUUUUAAUUAUUUUCUUCAUUUAUUGGUAUUUAUAUGUUCCUUGAUUUUAAUUGCUAUGGCCUUGUGUAUGAUUGAUUAGUGCGCAAUAAUUAAUUAUUCAUAUAGGCUAUUUUGCUAAAUAGAGGUAAUUGAAUCCGUAAUUGUUCGUUAUCUCUAUCUUAGUAGCAACUGGCGUAAUUGGGUUUAUGUCAGGGGAGCAUAUGAUCUAGCUUAAACAAACCCUCGUAGCGUGUUUGUUGGUUAGGAUUGGGCCUUUCUAAUUAUUAAUGCAAUCUAGAAAUUAAAUCUUACGGUCGUACCUAGGGUUGUUUUUGGGUUAGAGAAAUAGCUAACGGUCGUACCUUAGCUAUCGAUAAAUUAAGGAAGGGUUGGUUGUUUAUCGCGUGCAUGACAACUAUAACCAAUCUAUUAAUAAAUGUUGGGAUUAUUUUUGCAUCAAUGAUCAGUGCAUGAACCAUUUCUGAAGUAUACCCUUGGCUAGAGUUUCUCUUAGUUAUUUCUUUUAAUUAAUUAUUUUCUGCAGUUAAUUUAUUUAGUUAGCAUUUAAUCCAAAACCCCCCAUACUUUGGACUCUAAAAGAAACAAUUACUCCCAGUCCCUGUGGAUUCGACCCUGCUCACCGCUAUCUACAGAAAUCACUUUUAGUUUGAGCAGGUAUUUAUUAUUGCACAGGCUUCGACGACCUGUCAAUCUUUGGCGCCGUUGCCGGGGACUGGUGCCAGAUUAAAUUGUUUCUUUUUGAGUUUAUCUUGUUUUCAUUUUUUUAAUUUAUUUUUCUCUUAUUUUUUAUUAUUAUUAUUAUUUUUUUUAUGGCUGCUAACAUUCCAUAUUUUGAUGAUAGACUGGAUUUUGUUCCUGAAUGGGGUUAUGAGACUCAUGUUUUUCCUAACGAUCAAUGGGCUGUUGCAAAUUGUGGAACUUAUUUUGACUCAAGUUAUUCAACUGACACAUGCCCCGUAUUUCAAGAUAAUUUAAGUUCUCCACUUGAUACUUUUGGAGAUUUUUCACCCCAAUAUCAAACGUGGUAUGACCCUUAUUCAAACGGGUAUGAUCAAGGAUGGUGGGAUAAUUCCAAUUUUGAUUAUGCGACCGGGCCAAUGGAUUUUCAACAGCAAGAGUCUCAGCAAUCAUCCUCCGUGUCAGGUAUGUCUCUUGAAGAAAUGAUAGGUUUACUAAUUGCUAAUUCAAAUCGAUUUCAUCAGGAGACACAAGCGAGCCUAAAUCGAUUUCAUCAGAGGACACAAGCGAGCUGUCGCGACCUGGCGGAUCAACUGCGUCAAUUGACAGCCAGGAUGCAGCGAUUAGAGGCUCACCUUGAAGAAUUGCCCUCGCAAACCAAUAUCAAUCUUGAGGAAGAUGAGAGUGCAAUUGUCCGGGCAAAUGACAUGGAACUGCAAGAGUUUCAAGAAAACGGAUUUAAAGAUGCAGUUGAAAAGGAAGCUGAAGUGCAAGAAAUGAGACUCCAAGAUCAACUCGUUCAAGUGAAUGAAUCCAGUGAACAAUCUCCAAAUGCGGUGACAUCUUCUCCACUCCUUAAUCAAUAUUUUCCUGGCUCCUAUUCUUCAACUCCUGUUACUGAAAUUGAUUUUAUUAUACCAGAAAAUUUAAAAUUUCAUGACAGGAAUAAGUUAAGAGUGGAGAUGGCAAAAUAUCUUGAACCAAUGAAUGCGUGUGAUGGAGGAGUGAGUGGAGAAUGCAGAUCAUUGUUGACUUGUUUAGCGCCAUUUACUAGUCCAUGGAAGCCCGUAACUCGUGUGCCCAAGAAUUACUCCAUCUAUGAGGGUUACCAGGAUCACGUUGAAGAUGAAGCAUUGAAGCGAGCCACAAGAUUUUAUCCUCCAUGAGCAAAACAUGAUAAUGUCUAGCCAAAGACAUUAAAGAAAGGCGCUCAUUGGGAGGCAACCCAAUUUCUUUUAGUUGUUUGUUUGAUUUUAUUUGUUAGUUUAAAUCUGUCUUCCUUGAAUUUGACUGAUUUUGGGUGUUAAUUUUCGUUUUUACUGAUUUGUAGGUGACCUUCAGUCAUGACGCGCCCGCGUGGUGACGUGCAGGAAGCUCACGAUCAGAAACUUCUGGGAGCUCUCUUACCCUCAUGACGUGCCCGCGUCAAGUCACCUGGAGAGUUCCAGAUUCCGUGCCUUCAUGGUGUGCCCACGUCACGUUCACGGGAGAGAUAAGUAUUUAAAAAAAAAAUUCAAAAACGAUUGUUGAUUGUUGGUUAUCUCUGCUUUUGAAUCUCGAAAAUAAAAUUUGCUAAUGAAAAUAAAUUUCAAAAAAAUAAAAAAAAAUUUUUUAAAAAAAAAAAUUUAAAUUUUUGUUUCACGGUAGCUUAGAUUUUCAAAUCCUAAAAAAAAAAAAAAACACAGAAACUCUUUCUUAUCAACGUAGCUUUAGUGUCAAAUAUUUUAAAAAAAAAAAAGUCUCAAAUGAAAAAAAAAAAGGGCUUUUCUUUUUCUUUCUUUUCUUUCUUUCUUCUUCUUUCUCUUUUCUGUCUUCCUUCUCCCCUGUUUCUUCUUCCUCUCUGUUGACCGAAGCCCUCUGUCCGCCGCCGCUGCUGAAGCGCCCUCAGCCGUCGCGCAGCAGCUCCUCACUCGAAGACGCCGCGGCCACAGCACCUCUGCACGCGGCCUCCACCUCUCCAUCGCGCGCCGUCAAGAGCUCCGCCGACCCACGACGCGCGAGGCACCAGCUCGCGCGCCUCCCCCACCUAGCAACUGCUGGCCGACCAGCCCCACCACCAGCCCGCGCCGCACCUGCUGGCCGACCUAUCAACUCCUAAGCUCGCGAACCUCCUCAGCUCAGCUCCACCAGCGAGCUGCUCCUCGCUCACUCCAUCGCGUGAAGACCAGGCGAGCACGGCCCGCAGCCUCUCACCGCCACUGCGCACCUCUGACCAGCUCGCAGCACCUCUCUCUGCCCUCCGUGCGCUGCCCGCGCGUGGCACCAGCGCCUCCACAGCUCGUCGACGAAGCCCAAGCUGACAGACCACGCCGCUCGUCCACUUCCACCACUCGCGACGCACAGAUCAGCGCUGCCGUUGGUUGCCCAACCUCCCUGGUGCCAGGUUUUUCUUACUAAUUUUGUGGUCUACGAUUCCAAUUUCUUGAUGAUGGGAUUUUUGAUGAUUACGAUUUCAUUGAGUAAAUUUGAUUGGCUUGCAUCUGUGUUACUGGAGCCCGUGGGUUGGGUUAUGACCUGCAACUGAUUUGCCUAGUCUAAUAUAAUUGUCAUUUGUUUGGGCUCUUGAAGUACUGUCUAGUGUUGUUUGUAUUUCUUAGUGAAUUGAGUUUGCCGUUUGAUUUCAUUCUUCCCUGUGCGUACACCAGUGGUACUGGUUGUGGUAGUUGCCUAACAUUUAUUCAUUCUCAUUGGUGUGGCUGUUGGGAUUGAAAGCUCAGAACUUGUGACUAAGUUGUUAUUGCCUAAAUGCUGACCUGCUAUUACUAGACUUGCUGAUUUCUUGGGAGCAUUUGUUGGGAUUUUGGGUGGAUAUUAGCAAGUGGUAUAUUGCUUGAUUUUUUUUACCUGUGCCUUGCUUGGAGUUUCUAGUGCAUGUUUGGGGCUGCCUUGGGAGUUAUUUGCCACAAUUGAUUGCCGUUUUGGUUUCUUCUGUUUCUGGUACUGCUUGUGCUGAUGGAUUUAUCAGUGUUUUGGGCGGCUUAUUUGAAUUGCUUCUUCCCUGUGUGUUUGGUCAGCUGUUUGCUUGAAAACCCAAACCCUUGUGCUUAUAUUUGCUCCCAGUUGAGUUAUGUGUUGGACUUUCCAAUUGGUGACAACUUUUGGGCUUUAGGGGUGAGUUCAUUUUGUCAUUAUUUGCUACCUUGUUGGGGUCAUUUUUGGUUUCACCUGAGUCUAUUGUCCUGCCUUCUGUUUUGAGUCCAUUGGAGUGACGUGAGUUGAGUAAUUUCUGCUUUUGUUUGUUGAUUUGGAAGGCUACUGUGCCACUUUCAUUGCUUAUUGCUUAGUGAUUAUGUCUAAUUAACAAUGUGCAUAGCAUGGCGCAGAAUUUGGCAGCAUUCAUGUAGCAUGCCGGUCUUAUACCUCAAUUGGGUACCUCUAUUUGGUUGGCUGCGUUCUUAUUGUCCAAUAUCUAUGCUGUUUUCAAUGGAAUUGCUGAUCUUGGGUUAAGACUUUAGCUGGCCAACUGGAGCCAUUUGUUGAGAUUUUGGGUGAACUGCAAUACUGCACUCGUUUGUUCAAUUGGGAGGUUUCUUUUGGUAUUCUGGUUGAGUUAUUUCUAAAGUUGCCUGAUGAAUUGAGAGACAUAGAUGGCUAUUGCUCUGCCCUGAUAUUGCUUGGUUGCCAGUGCGCAUUCUCUAUGCCAAGUGGCAAGGAUGUCUCAGAACUCGGCUUCCCUCCACUGUUCCCUCCUAUCCCUUAGCUGUUCAGCAGGGAAGUCUCGUUAUCCUCUUCGCUUUAAUUAUUUUAUUACCUCCAUUGAGGACAAUGUAGGAUUUAGGUGUGGGGGGAGCAGUUAUGGUGCUAGUGUCUUUCGUUCAUUUUCUUUUUCUUCUUUUUAGUGAUUGGCUCGUAAGUGCAUGCCAAGGUUUGAUGUUGGAUUAUUGCCUCUAUUUCUACUUUUGCCAAGUUUUAAUAAUAAAAGGGUAUCAAGUUAAUGUGGUUGAAUCCAAAAACAUCUCUUUGGUGAAUAUCAAUAAUUGUUUUACUCUUAUAAUUUUUUGGUUAACUUUCCUAGGCAUAGGGAAUGAUUAUUGGCAUUUUUAGUGAAUUGGUCCGGUUAUUAACCUUAGUUCUCCAUGUUUGAAAAUGAGGCUAGCUGAUGCAAGUUUUCUUUUGGUUCUUGUGUUAUAUUGAGUUUUUGUGAUUUUUAGCUCUGAAUAAACUUGACUGUACUCCGCUAUUAGUUACUACUGAGUAACCGGGGAUCUGCACCUAAAAGUGUUGAUUCUCGCGUCAAAAGAUAGUAGUUCCUAUGAGUACGUGGUCACGUGGCGAUAGAAGCUGAGUAACCGGGCUCCUUCAUCUGGCCAAUGUUGGAAUUCGCGUCAAAAGGCUCUAAUGGCUAGCGACUAAGUCUUUUGUUACUAUUGAAAAAAAACGAGAAAGAAGAAGAAGAAAAAAAAAAGAAAAAAAAGAGAAAAGUAGAAAAAUGUGAAAGAAAAAGUGAAUGCUGUGUUAGUGUAUAAUAAAAGUCAGCUUGCCGAUUUAUGGAUUUAAUGUUGAGAUUUUGGUUAAUAGUUGGACCAUUUGCUGAUAACUGUUAUGCGUCAUUCCUUUUUCUUAGAUUGGUUAACAUGAAAUUAGAGGAAUUUAUGGUUUAGAAGCUAACCGGAGUGAUGUUUCUUGGACUAGACCAUUGAUGCUUGAUUAUUAUAUUUUCUUGGUAUCUUGGCAAUAUGGUAGAUGGAGUAAUAGCCAUUGGCAAGUGUUGGUGUUUAUUUGCUGUUCUCAUGCUUGAGGACAAGCAUGGUUUAGGUGUGGGGGGAAUUGAUAGGUUGCAAUUUUAUCAUUUAUUUUAUUAUUAAUUUUCCCUAUUACUUAACCCAAUGUGAAUUAAUUAUUAGAUUCUACUCACUUUUAGUAUUUUACAUAUAUUUCAGGGAGUAGAACGAAAAUACCAUAAUAAGUGUCCGAUUUGACAGUUAUCAGGAAAGAGUUCAAGUAGCAGGCAUCCAGGGCAUUUUUGGAACAAGGAGAUACAAGUCCUUUUUGGUAAUUCGCAGAGCAGCAGCAUUAAAAGGAGGAACGAAGGGCUGAAGUAGGGUCUUCUUCCGCCUGGGAGGAACCGCCGCACAGCAGAGGGCUGUCUGGUCCUCUUAGUUUUUCCGUUUCUUUAGUUUUAGCUUAGGAUUUUGACUUUUCUUCUCGUAGGAAUUUUGGGUAGCCUUUAGCUUAGCAACUUUUGUUGACCCUUUUUUGGCCUUUUAGCUAGUUUGUUCUUACGCAUGGAAGAUGGCUGAAUAGCUGAGGCUUGUUCUUUGUUUUUCUUUGACUUUUCCUUUUGGUUUGCUUCCUGCGGACGCCCAGACCGAAGGAAAACUAUGAAGUCCCUUUUGUAGCUUUCUCUCUUUAUUAAAUAGACGAAUUGAAUUCCUUCAACUUGCGAAUUGAUGGCCGCAGCUUUUGCUUCAAUUUCUUGUGGGUUUAGUUCAUUAAUUAUGAACUAAUUCUACAAUUCUAGUCAAGGGGACAACUGACGAUUUGGUUCGACAAUUACUGUGAGAUCGAAUCUGUUUUAAUUAUUUUCUUCAUUUAUUGGUAUUUAUAUGUUCCUUGAUUUUAAUUGCUAUGGCCUUGUGUAUGAUUGAUUAGUGCGCAAUAAUUAAUUAUUCAUAUAGGCUAUUUUUUGCUAAAUAGGGGUAAUUGAACCCGUAAUUGUUCGUUAUCUCUACCUCAGUAGCAACUGGCGUAAUUGGGUUUAUGUCAGGGGAGCAUAUGAUCUAGCUUAAACAAACCCUCGUAGCGUGUUUGUUGGUUAGGAUUGGGCCUUUCUAAUUAUUAAUGCAAUCUAGAAAUUAAAUCUUACGGUCGUACCUAGGGUUGUUUUUGGGUUAGAGAAAUAGCUAACGGUCGUACCUUAGCUAUCGAUAAAUUAAGGAAGGGUUGGUUGUUUAUCGCGUGCAGGACAACUAUAACCAAUCUAUUAAUAAAUGUUGGGAUUAUUUUUGCAUCAAUGAUCAGUGCAUGAACCAUUUCUGAAGUAUACCCUUGGCUAGAGUUUCUCUUAGUUAUUUCUUUUAAUUAAUUAUUUUCUGCAGUUAAUUUAUUUAGUUAGCAUUUAAUCCAAAACCCCCCAUACUUUGGACUCUAAAAGAAACAAUUACUCCCAGUCCCUGUGGAUUCGACCCUGCUCACCGCUAUCUACAGAAUUAAUUUUAGUUUGAGCAGGUUUUAUUAUUGUACAGGCUUCGACAACCUGUCAUUGAGCAUUUGAAAAGUGAAAUUUUUGUCCACCAAACUGCUUAUACCCGGAAGGUAUUAAAGUAGUUUUAUAUGGAUAAGGCAUAUACAUUAAGUACCCCAAUGGUCAGAUCAUUAGAUCCUAAUAAGGACCCUUUUAGACCGCGAGAGGAAGUUGAAGAGAUACUUGGUCCUAAAGUACCAUAUCUCAGUGCAAUUAGUGCACUAAUGUAUCUUGCUAAUUGUACAAGACCUGAUAUAUCAUUUGCAAUAAAUUUAUUAGCAAGAUUUAGUUCUCGCUCACAAGACGACAUUGGAAUAGUAUUAAACAUAUUUUUUGUUAUCUCCAAGGAUCAAUUGAUCUUGGCUUAUUUUAUUCAAAUAAAUCUAAACUUGAAUUGUUUGGUUAUGUUGAUGCUGGAUAUUUAUUUGGCCCACAUAAAGUAAGAUCUCAGACUGGUUAUCUAUUUACAUAUGGAGGUACAACCAUUUCUUGGCGAUCUACAAAGCAAUCAUUAGCUGCCAUUUCAUCGAAUCAUGCUGAAAUAAUAGCAAUUCAUGAAAUUAGUUGAGAAUGUGUUUGGUUAAAAUCAAUGACCCACUAUAUCCGGAAAAGUUGUGGGUUAUCCUCCGAAAAAGAAAAUCCUUCAACUAUAUUAUAUAAAGAUAAUGCAGCUUGUAUAACUCAAUUGAAAGGAUGAUAUAUUAAAAGAGAUAGAACGAAAUAUAUUUCACCAAAAUUCUUUUUUACUCAUGAUUUACAAAAGAAUGGUGAAAUUGAUGUGCAACAAAUCUGAUCAGAUAAUAAUUUGACAGAUUUAUUUACCAAUGCAUUGCCAACUGCAAUAUUUAAGAAAUUGGUGAAGAAUAUUGGAAUGCGACGACUAUAAGAUCUCAAAUGAUAUUUGCAUCCGGGGGAACAAUCAAUACACAAGAAUAGUGUACUCUUUUUCCUUCAUUAAGGUUUUUAUCCCGUUGGAUUUUUUCCUAGUAAGGUUUUAAUGAGACACAUUCUUUGUGUAAUGGACAUCCAAUGGGGAGUGUUAUGAAACAACUAAAAAUGUGGAUGCCCAUUUGUAUUCUCAAGAAGAUCAAUUCAUAAUUCAUUGCUUCCAAAAGGAUUAAUUCAUAAUUCAUUGCUACAUUAUAUAAAGGAAUUACAUUGGAUGAACGGUUUCAAUCCAUAAGAGCUAUUCAUGUAUUGGAUGAACCAUUUCAUAUGGUUAUUUAUGUUCUUGUAGUAAUGAGUGUUUAAUAGAAUUGAUGUACCUUUAAUUUUGUAGUACCUAUAUAUAGAGGUACCUUGGCACCUCUUGGAUGUACUUUUUGAUUAGUUGGAAUAAUAAAAAAAUCAUUCUCCAUUUCUGUACUUUUUUUUCUAAUAUUUUAAUUCCUAUUAUAGUAGUUCAUUUUUUUUUUAGUUUUACAACAUUACUCAAAGAAGAGGGUUAUUGGACUAUAUGUUUAUUGACCUCUACUAGGGAUGACAAUGGGGGCGGGUGACGGCAAUGGGGGCGGGUGACCGCGGGCACCCGUCCCGCGGGGGGCUAAUGGGGAGAGGGAUGGGGCCGGGGCGGGGGGUAGGGGAGUGUACCCCCGCCCCAUCCCCCGUCCCGCUACCCGCUUUAAAAAAAUAAAUAUAUAAAAUAUAUAUAGGUAUAUAAUUAUAUAUAUAAUAUAUAAUUUAAUUGGUUACAAACUUAUGAUAAUAAUAUUAUUAGUUAUAUGUAUUAUAUGAUGUCUAUUAGUAUAAAUAAUAUAAUUGAUAUUAUUAAUUAUACUAAUAAUUAUAUAUGUGUACUCAUACAAAUUAUUAAUUGGUUAUACUAAAUUUACUAAUACAUUUAUACUAAAUCCCUAAUUACACUUAAUACAAUAACAUUAUUUUCAUAAAAAAAACACAACCACAAUAAUGAAUUAGUGAUUGUAUUUGUACCAAAAGUGAAAAUUUGAUUACUUUAGUUAUAUUUUUUUCAUCAUGUUGGAUUGUAUUCAAAUAAUUUUUGUUUGAUUGUUUUUAUAAGUUUCAAUUGUAAAAUUGCAAUGAAUAAUAAUUUGAUGAUGUGUUGAUAUUUUAGUACUUGAUUAUUUGCUAAAAUUUAAUCAUAAUAAAAUUAUAUAACAAAUUUUUAUUAGCUCAGCGGGAGCACCCGCCGGAGAAGCGGGGCAGGGUGGGGACGGGGCGAGGGAAGCGGGGGAUGGGGGAGGGGUCCCCCGCCCCAACCCUCUUCCCCAUCUCCCGCCCCGUUGCCAUCCCUAACCUCUACUAACUUAUUUAAGGUCAUUUUAUAUCACUAUCCAAAGAAGAAUUAAGGUCAUUUUAUAUCACUAUCCAAAGAACAAUUCUUGGGCGUUAACAUUUUUCUUACAUGCCAAGACUAUUAAUGAAAGUUGACCCAAAUCUCUCUCUCUCUUUCUCUCAAUUCUUAGGACUGAUGCCAAUUCUUACCAUUUAGAAAGAAAAAUUAGAUUGUUUAUAUAUAUGAUGAGUUCCCUCUAAGUCAUGGUUAAGAAAAAUUCUUAGUUAGACGCAGUUUUAUGAAAUGUGAAUUUCCUUUUCUUUGUCUUUAUUCGUUAGUAUUAUUGGGGUUAUUGUAUUAUGAUUGCAAUGCACAGAUACAUGGAUUUUUGACAUUUUUUUCUCAUUUUUUCUUUUUAAUUGACUCUGACUAUGUCUCAAACUCGAGACAUCAAACCUGGAGAAGACUUUUGUCCAAAAUGCUUGUAAAAAUUCAGAAGAAUAAUGUUGGACCUUAUUAUUUAAUAAUGGUGCAAUUAUGAGAGUCAUUCCUGGUUUAAUUAUCAACAUCAUGUCAUUAUUAUUUUUUUGUUUCAUAGAAAAAUAAAGUAUUCUCCGACUCGACAUUAUCAUAUUAUUUUCAAUUGGCAGCUUUAAGUGAGAAAGGCCGGUGAAAAUUUUGGGCAUUACUAGUUUAUUUAGGCCUCACGCGCUCCGUGAAGGUGCCGACGUCAUCUUCGUUUUAAUGGAAAAAUUUGAGCGCGCUUUGAUCAUAAGGAAUUCACAAUCAUCGGGCCAACAAAGAAAGCACUAAAUGGUUAAAACAAACCAUGCAAAUUUGCUCAGCACUUAAACAAUAGACUCCUAAACCGACCAUUUUACUGUCUUGCCAAAAAAGGGCAUUAAAGUAAAAACAACCCAUGCCUAACACAACUAACAAACUUCAGCACCUUCACUUCACUGCCACGUCAUCAACAACAUCUGUAAAUUUCCAAGGAAGUCCACGCACUAAAGGUGCCAUGGGGGACCUCAGGUUAGUGUUCUUAACAUCAACUCCUGUCUUUAUAUUCUUAGGAAAUAUUGAAAUUAAACAUUAUAACUAAUCCUGAUUUCCUUAUGCUGUAUUUGUACACAAUUUGGCAACUUGAUAAAAAGUUUGUUCCAAUUUAUUCCAAUUUAAUUUGUCAGCUAGUCGAAUCUAAUUUGAAUAGUAUUUAACUUUGAAAUUUGAUAAAAAGUUUGUUCAAACUUGGUUUACUAAAUAAACAAGUUAAGUUUGAACAAAAUUUCAAACUUAUUAAAAUAAUUAAAUACGUUUGAAUACUAGGGUAUUCAAUUUAAUUAGACUCGUUUGCACCCAUAAUUAAAGCAUGCACUUUUUUAUAAAUUUAGGAAUCAACAUUAUCUAUUUGAUAGCUAGCUAAUGGCCCAAAAAGUUAAUUGCCUUAAAUUCUUUUAGCAGCCAUAAAGUAUAGUUGGAGGGAUUCCCUUGAAAUUGAUUAGAUUCUUCUAUGUGACUGUGACGUAUUACUAGUCCUACCCAAAAAAAAAUGGUAUUACUAGUCCUUUUUUCUUUUUGUGGCGUGCCACCGCCGUAGGGGGCGGGGAGGGCAGUCAGUGCGAGAAUUCUAGAUGGGGUAGAAGUAGCCAAAGUUCACCUUAUUCAAAGUAAACAACCGACAAUCUCAGUUGUCGACUUUCCUGUCGAUUGCGUAUAUAUUACUAUCUUUUACCAUGACUUUAGAGGAUACCUAAUUUUGCUUGCUAUUAAAUAAUAAUUCCUGGCACCACAUAAUUCUUUCAAGAACUACCAAAACCUUCUUGAAAUCCCUCUUUUUCCUUUUAGUUCAUUUCCAAGAAACAAAUUGAACCAUCAUGGCCCCUGUCACUUCCAGUUAUGAGGUCACCUCCUCAAUCCCUCCUGCAAGGUUGUUCAAGGCCACCAUCCUUGAAGAGAAGCAUCUUCACAAGAUCUUGCCACAGGGCGUUAAGAGUGUCGAAAUCCUUGAAGGAGAUGGUGGAGUUGGCACAAUUAAGUUGACCACAUUUGUUGAAGGUAAGAUAUCAAUACAAAGUGAUUAUUUUCACACAUUUGAAGUCCUCAAAAUGUUCUUUUUUUUUUUUAACAUUUUAUUUGUGGGGGUAAGUAUGUAUGUAAGCCCUAAUAACCUUUUUUUUUUUGUUGGGUUAAAUAUUUAGGUGGCGAGCUUAAGACUGCCAAACAGAGAGUUGAUGGAAUUGACAAAGAAAAAUUUACAUACAGUUAUACUGUACUUGAAGCUGAUGGAUUUAACGAUGUAAUCGAGAAAAUCUGUUGUGUCAUCAAAUUUGAACCCUCUGCUGAUGGAGGUUCAAUCUGCAAAACCACUAAUACAUACUACCCCAAAGGUGGUGCUCAGAUCAGUGAGGAACACCUCAAGGGAGGAAAAGAGAAGGGUUUGGGAAUGGUUAAGGCUGUUGAGGCUUACCUCCACGCAAAUCCUACUGCCUACAACUAAUUAAAAUGAAUGCUACUGAAGGACUCUUCGACAUAUUUUCUUCAAGAUUGAAGUAUAAACUGAGGGUGUCUGUUUCCUUUUUUGCUUGGUUUGCUUAAGCUGUUUGGUUAAGUUAUUCGCAGCAAGAGAAUAAAAUAAUUCACUUGCUGUUUUUAGAUAUGAAUUCAUGACUGUCAGUAGUCUAUAAAUACACUUAUUGCUCACCGCUCUUUGCACCGCAAAAUCUUUUCAAGAUCCAUCAAACCCUCCUGUUCUUGAUCUUUCUCCAUUUGUGAAAAAACAAAUUAAAGCAUCAUGGCCCCGAUCACUUGUAGUGCUGAGAUGACCUCCCCAAUGCCUCCUGCAAGGUUGUUCGAGGCCGCCAUCCUUGAUGACCACCUUCUUCCCAAGAUCAUGCCACAGGCUAUUAAGAGUGUGGAAAUCCUUGAAGGAGAUGGUGGAGUUUGAACCAUUAAUUUGAGCACAUUUGGUGAAGGUUAGAUGUUAUAUUAAAUGUAGAACCCCAAAUUUAAGGAUCGAAUAAUAAUCAACGCAUGUGGGGUUAUAGAAUUGAAGGGAUAAAACAAAUACUCAAAAUAUACGUGAAAGAAAAGAAAAUAAUAAAUUCAACUUACAAUAUUAUUAAAUUUUCAAACAAUGGAAAAAAUCAUACCACAAUAAAUUCAGCUGGUUCUAAUAAUAAUCAAAGCAUACAAGGUUACAGAAUUAAAAGGAUAAAACAAACGCUCAAAAUAUAUGUGGGAGAGAAGAAAAUAAUCAAUUCAACACACAAUAUUAUUGAAAUCUCAAACAAUGAAAAAAGUCACACCAUAAUAGAAAACCUUGCUUAUUCUUCUAGAUUCUUUCUCUUGAGAGACCAACCUAAAUAAUGUCCUAUUUAUAAUCUACCAAACUUGUUAAGAAAGAAACCACUUGCAUAAGAAAUUACGAAAUAAAUUAGAAAUUCCUAAAUCACACAACUACUAAAAACAUAACUCAAAUAAAACUAAAAAAUAAAUAAAUAUUUCUAGGCUUAGUUUAAUUUGUCAACAUUGCCUCCCUUAAACCAAAUUAUUCAUUGAGAUAGGUUCAACACCAUCUCGAGCAAUAAUUUCUAUGCAAAUCUAUGUUGUAGUACAUUUGACAUGAAACUCUAACUUGUUACCAGUUAUUAAUUUCAUUUUUACACGUAACAAUGGACGCACUAUAUAUUUUGUAAAAAAUUUCUCAGCAAUUUCUUCUUGAUCAAAGUACUCAUUUAUACAAACCCAUUCGUCACCAGAAUCACCAUAUUUACCACCAAUGUAAGUGCCUAAAAUUAAAAAAUCAUAGGUUGCUUUCUCGCUAAAGUUAUCAUCACCAAAUAAUUCAAAAUAACCACUACUACAAUUAUCCAAAAUUUUCAUACUGUCAGUCAACUCUUUUGGAGUAAAAUAUUUUUCAACUCCGAUGACAUCCAUAUCUAUCAAAUCAAACAUUCUCCCAUCACUUUGAAGAGAGUCCGAACCAACAAAUUUUUCAACAACAAUUUCAUGUUCUCUUCUUUUAUCAAAUCAAAAUUUUCUUCUUCUUUUGUCAAAUUACCAUAUUAUUUUUUUCAACAAAUUCAUUACUUCUAAUUUCUCCAAACAAGGUAUGCAAAUCAAAACUAUCAAUUGAUUCAAAAUUUUCGAUAUCACCCAUAUUAUGAACAAAUCUAUCAUUUUUAAAAUCCACAAACCAAUACCAACAACUAGACUUCAGUUUGAAAGCAUAAUUUCUCUCAAUCAUGUGCAAAACAUAGUAAAUAUCCUUCCAAAAUCUCUAAAGUAUUUUAGUAUGACCAAUAAAGGUUCUAUAAAUACUUUCUGCCAUUAUUUUACGCAUCACUUGAAAGAAUAAUUGUGCCUUUUUCUUAAAAACAUGUUUUGACAACUUACUUGCAUCAACCCAACAAAGAAUAUCAUCCAAAUUGCAUUGCUUGACAUAUUUUUCCACUGUUAAAAUCCAAUUAAAAUAUGUAUGUCUAUUUGUGCUUAUAGGAGUCAAUAUGAAAAAUUUUUCACCGUCAAUUAGAUCUUUAUAAUAUUCCAUUAUUUAACAAUUUCUAUACCUGAAUAAAUUUUUUUCCUCCAUCCUGUCAUGUUUUCUUGGCCUCCCUGGUUGACUAACCAAAUUAUUGUUGUAUGUAUACCCAUGCUCGUCAAACCUCAUUCGUGUACACUCGUAAGGAGUGGUUCUGAGCUUAUUGUGAAUGCUUAGUACCAAGAAGUAGAAGAGAGAAUGCAUAAGAGAGAAUUAACUUGGCUAAAGAAUUAGGAAACAAUUGAGGGAUUUUUUAAGAAAUUAAUUCUCCAACCGCCACUUUUGGAUCUUUUCUAUCUACAACUAGUUACCAAAACACUAGCACAUAGUAAGAAAUCGGGAUAAUUUCAGAAACCUCCCUUGAGGCUUUUAAUAAUCUCAAGAAGCUCCCCUCAAUAUUUUAAAAUUACACGUACCUUCCCUAUUGGAGCAAAAGUACUCUACUACCCCUAAUAGGAUACUCAAAAGACUUUUUUUAUGGGAAAAAAGAACCUCAGAAAUCCAAGCGAAAGCAAAAAAAUCAAUUUAUUUUCUCUUUUAGCCUUUAACGCUUUUGCCUUCUACCUUUGCUCACUUUCCCAUGCCAAUCUUCCUAUAACCACUUUCCCAAUCCCCUUUCCCCAACUUUUCUCCUCUACUUCAAGACUAAUUUUUGUCCAUCAAUCCUGGCUUGUGCUUUGUUCCAUUCCCUUCCCUUCUCCUUCUUUGAUUUCCCCUACAUCGCCCUUUCUCUUUGCAAAAGUGACUAGGCUCAUCUCUCUCUUUUUUCCCCUUAUUCUAAGUGUAGUGGGUUUGAUUAUUUUGCAUCUAUUUUAUUUGGUUUUGGUUGAUUAUGGGUGAUAAAACUUGGUGAUGUCAAAUAUCAAAAGUUUGAUAGAUGGAUAUUGGGCUUUAGACAAUGAUUUGCUAGAAAAAAAUGGCUGCAAUGAGAGGAAAAGGCAAGGGGAUUUGAAUGUGGGGUUGAUUGUUGAUGAAUUGUUGUUUUGGACAAAAUUUGAGGUUGAGUUUUGUCAAAUUUGGUAGCAAGUGGCGAGAUUUGUUCAGGUUUCGGGAAAUAAAUUGGAUUGUGGUUUCUUGGGCACCCACAGUUGUUGGAAUUGGUUUUGAUUCAAAUAAAGGUGGUUACUUGAUUUUCCUAAUAGUGUUGCUUAAGAGCACACGAUCAUCAAAAUUCCUUAUUUUUAUCUUUUUUUUUUUGUAGAAAAGAUUUCAUGACUUUCGUGAUAGUCUAAUUUGGAAGAAGGCAAUCAAGGGAUGCAAUCAACAUUUAGCAAAAGCUCUUGUUCUUUUCUUUCUAUUUUUUAGGGUAAAAAGGGUAGUUUAGGGUAUUUGAAGGAAAUGAUAGUCUAUUGGGUCUAUUUUGAAGCAUAAAUAGUGAACGUAAGGGAGGUUGGUGUAAUUUCUGAAACCUAAGGGGAAUUGUCUAAAUUGUCCGAGACCUCAGAGAAGGUUUUCGAAAUUAUCCCUAAGAAAUCAAAUGCGAAACUUGAUUAGUACACACACACACGACACUGCACCACGGCACGCGUGUGUUGAGAACUGAUGUCCGUAACCAACGACAAGCAGGUUUUCAAUUUUUUUUUCCUUUCCUGGAUUCUCCAGAGAUGGUGUCAGCUUCUAUUAUUGAUGAGCAGGAGGAAAUCCACAAUAUACAGUACACAUCACCCAUAUUCUUUUUAAUUGAACAAUGUAUGAAAUUAUGGUGAUUCGAAAUUAAAUUAUAUGUUUAUUGGGCAACGAAUCCAAAAUAAGAAUUGGAAAUGUAUUGUGGCAACAAUUGUUAACUUAGGCUACAAAUGAUCAAAAUAAAUAUUUAAGAUUUAAUAUGACAUUAUGGGUUCAAAAUAUAGUUACUUGUUAUGAAACAACUAAAAGUGUGGAUGUCCAUUUGUAUUCUCAAGAGGAUCAAUUCAUAAUUCAUUGCUCCCAAGAGGAUUAAUUCAUAAUUCAUUGCUACAUUAUGUGAAGGAAUUACAUUAGAUGAACGGUUUCAAUCCAUAAGAGCUAUUCAUGUAUUGGAUGAACCGUUUCACAUGGCUAUUCAUGUUCUUGUAGUAAUAAGUAUUUAAUAGAAUUGAUGUAUGUUUAAUUUUGUAGUACCUAUAUAUAGAGGUACCUUGGCACCUCUUGGCUGUCCUUUUUGAUUAAUUUGAAUAAUAAGAAAAUCAUUCUCUAUUUCUAUACUUCUUUCUCUAAUAUUUCAAUUCUUAUUAUAGUAGUUCAUUAUUUUUUUAGUUUUACAACACGUUAUCAGCACGAGUCUCUAUUUUUGAAUAAAAAACUGAAAAUGGAGCCUAUACCUUAAAAAAAGCAAAAAAUGUGAUUCUGCUGAAAUUCUGCAUGUAUUUUUCCGGCAACUUCUAUCUACUUAUUGAGAAAUGGAUGCCAAAUAUUUGGGAUUAAAUAAUGGUGAUGAUGACAUUUGUCUCAUUGAUUGUACUACUACGCACACUAUAUUGAAAAAAAAAAUUCUUGUAUGAAAAUGGGAGAGACAAAUGUUAAUACCAUAAGUGGUAGUGCAAAAUUGAUUGAAAGUUCUGGAAGAGCCACUCUAUUUCUUCCUGAAAGGACUAAAAUUGUCGUAAAUAAUGCACUACUAUCUCUCAAGUCUUGAAGAAAUUUAUUCAGUUUUAAAGAUAUCUGCGAAAAAUGGAUAUCAUAUCGGGACAAUAAAUGAGACAAAUGGAGAAUUUUUAUUAAUCACAAAUAUCAUUUCUGAGCAGAAAUACGUAGUAGAAAAAUUACCUUCUUUUUCUUCUGGCUUAUAUUAUGCACAAAUUAGUGCAAUUGAAAUUUAUCACCUAGGAGACCAGAAUUCUACUCAUCCCAAUAAUUUUAUGAUUUGGUAUGAUUGUCUCGAAAAUCCUAGAUAUAUAAUGAUGAGGCAAAUAAUUGAGAAUUCACAUGGUCACUCAUUGAAAAAUCAAAAGAUAUUAAAAGCAAAUAAAUUCUCUUGUGUUGCUUGUUCCCACGGAAAAUUAAUUAUUAGACCAUCACCAGUAAAAGUUGGGACUGAAUCCUCUACAUUUCUAGAACGAAUUCAUGAUGAUAUAUGUGGACUUGUAGAUCCACCAUGUGGACCAUUUCGAUAUUUUAUGGUGCUAAUUAAUGCAUUAACUAGAUGAUCACAUGUAUGUUUAUUAUCUACUCGCAACUUGGCGUUUGCGAGAUUGUUUGCUCAAAUAAUUAAAUUGCGAGCACAAUUUUCAAACUAUCCAAUAAAGAAAAUUCAUCUAGAUAAUGCUGGUGAAUAUUCGUCACAUGCUUUUGACGAUUAUUGCAUGUCCAUUGGAAUAACUGUUGAACAUCCUGUAACUUAUGUUCACAUUCAAAAUGGUUUAGCCGAAUCAUUUAUUAAAUGGCUAUAAUUAAUUACUAGACCAUUGUUGAUGAGAUCUAAACUUCCUUCAUUUGCUUGGGAACAUGCUAUAUUACAUGUAGCAAUACUUGUGAGAAUUAGAUCGACAAGUUAUCAUACUUAUUUUCCCCUAUAAUUAACUUUUGUUUUUGAGUCCAAUAUUUCUCAUUUACGAAUAUUUGGUUGUUCGAUUUAUGUUCUAAUUAUACCGUCCCAACAUCGUAAAUUAGACCCGCAAAGAAGAUUGGGGAUAUAUGUUGAGUAUGAAUCACCUUUAAUUAUUAAGUAUAUGGAACCAUUGACAGGUGAUUUAUUUACUGCGAGAUUUGCAGAUUGUCAUUUUGAUGAAUCACAUUUUUCGACAUUAGGGGGAGAUAAAAAUCAACCGAAAAAGAAAAUCACUUGAAAAAUAUCUUUGAAUUUCCUCGAUUCUCAUACCAAAGAAUGUGAACUAGAAGUUCAAAAGAUUAUACAUUUGCAAAAAAUUACAAAUCAAUUACCGGACGCAUUUAAUGACUCCAGAAAAGUUACUAAAUCACAUAUUCCUAUUGCAAAUGCUCCGAUUAAAUUAAUGUCUUUGAAGGACAAAUUACAAAUGUUAACGAGUCUAAAGCGUACCUAAAGCGUGGAAGACCUCUUGGUUCCAAAGAUAAAAAUUCUCGAAAGAAAAGAGGAGUAGAUGAAUCAACAAUUAGUGACAAAAUUCAACUUCCUGAAGAGGUCGCUCCUAAAGAGCCAAUUCUUGAAGAGAAUGAAAUUAUAGAAAAUUCAUUAAAUUUUGUCAUUUCAGGAAAAAGUUAGAAUCGAAAAGAAAUAAUUAUUGAUAGUAUUUUUGCAUAUAAUAUACCACUUGAUAUUAUGGUAGAGAAUAAGGAUCACGAGCCUAGAUAGGUUGAUGAAUGUCGACGUAGAAAUAAUUGGGCAAAAUGGAAAGAUGUGAUCCAAUCUGAAUUGAACUCACUGGUUAAAAGAAAAGUUUUUGGACCUGUAGUCCAAACACCUGAAGGUGUAAAGCCAGUAGGAUAUAAAUGGAUAUUUGUGAAAAAAAAAAUGAGAAAAAUGAAAUCGUGAGGUAUAAAGCAAGACUUCUAGCCCAAGAAUUUUCACAAAGGCUUGGAUUUGAUUAUGAUUACACGUAUUCACCUGUAGUGGAUGCUAUCACAUUUAGAUAUCUUGUGAGUUUUGCAGUACAUGAAAAAUCAGAUAUGCAUCUAAUGGACGUCGUUACUGCAUAUUUAUAUGAAAAUCUUGAUAAUGAUAUUUAUAUGAGAAUCCCCGAAGGAUUCAACAUGCCUGAAGCAUACAAAUCAAAUCCUAAAGAUAUUUAUUCUAUUAAAUUACAAAGAUUUUUGUAUGGGCUUAAACAAUCUGGACGUAUGUGGUACUGCCUCAAUGAAUGUUUAACUAAAGAAGGCCAUACCAAUGAUCCAAUAUAUCCAUGUGUCUUUAUCAAGAAAAAUGGAUCAAAUUUUGUGAUAAUUGUUAUAUAUGUUGAUGAUUUAAAUCUGAUUGAAACUCUUGAAGAGAUUAGUGUUGAAUAUUUGAAGAAGAAAUUUGAGAUCAAAGAUUUUGGAAAAACAAAAUUCUGCCUUAGUUUACAAAUUAAGCAUUUGAAAAGUGAAAUUUUUGUCCACUAAACUGCUUAUACCCCGGAAGGUAUUAUAGCAGUUUUAUAUGGAUAAGGCACAUACAUUAAGUACCCCAAUGGUCAGAUCAUUAGAUCCUAAUAAGGAUCCUUUUAGACUGCGAGAGGAAGAUGAAGAGAUACUUGGUCCUAAAGUACCAUAUCCCAAUACAAUUGGUGCACUAAUAUAUCUUACUAAUUGUAGAAGACCUGAUAUAUCAUUUGCAAUAAAUUUAUUAGCAAGAUUUAGUUCCUCGCCCACAAGACGACAUUAGAAUGGUAUUAAACAUAUUUUUCGUUAUCUCCAAGGAACAAUUGAUCUUGGUUUAUUUUAUUCAAAUAAAUCUAAGCUUGAAUUGCAUGAUUAUGCUAAUGCUGGAUAUUUAUCUGACCGGUAUAAAGCAAGAUCUCAGACUGGUUAUCUAUUUAUACAUGGAGGUACAGCCAUUUCUUUGCGAUCUACAAAGCAAUCGUUAGCCGCCACUUCAUCGAAUCAUGCUGAAAUAAUAGCAAUUCAUGAGGCUAGUCGAGAAUGUGUUUGGUUAAGAUCAAUGACCCACUAUAUCCGUAAGAGUUGUGGGUUAUCCUCCGAAAAAGAAAAUCCUCCAACUAUAUUAUAUGAAGAUAAUGUAGCUUAUAUAACUUAAUUGAAAGGAGAAUAUAUUAAAGGAGAUAGAACAAAACAUAUUUCACAAAAAUUCUUUUGUACUCAUGAUUUACAAAAGAAUGGUGAAAUUUAUGUGCAACAAAUCCGAUCAGAUAAUAAUUUGACAGAUUUAUUUACCAAUGCAUUGCCAACUGUAAUAUUUGAGAAAUUGAUGAAGAAUAUUGGAAUGCGACAAUUAUAAGAUCUCAAAUGAUAUUUGCAUCAGGGGAAGAAAUCAAUACACAAAAAUAGUGUACUAUUUUUCCAUCACUAGGGUUUUCGUCCCAUUGGAUUUUUUCCUAAUAAGGUUUUAAUGAGGCAUAUUCUUUAUGUAAUGGACAUCCAAUGGGGAGUGUUAUGAAACAACUAAAAGUGUGGAUGCCCAUUUGUAUUCUCAAGAAGAUCAAUUCAUAAUUCAUUGCUCCCAAGACGAUUAAUUCAUAAUUCAUUGCUACAUUAUGUAAAGGAAUUACAUUGGAUGAACGGUUUCAAUCCAUAAGAGUUAUUCAUGUAUUGGAUGAACCAUUUCAUAUGGCUAUUUAUGUUCUUGUAGUAAUGAGUGUUUAAUAGAAUUGAUGUACGUUUAAUUUUGUAGUACCUAUAUAUAGAGGUAUCUUGGCACCUCUUUAGUGUACUUUUUGAUUAGUUGGAAUAAUAAAAAAAUCAUUCUCCAUUUCUGUACUACUUUCUCUAAUAUUUCAAUUCCAAUUAUAGCAGUUCAUUUUUUUUUUUGGGUUUACAACAUUACUCAAAGAAGAGAGUUAUUGGACUAUAUGUUUAUUGACCUCUACUAACUUAUUUAAGGUCAUUUCAUAUCACUAUCCAAAGAAAAAUUCUUGGGCGUUAACAUUUUUCUUACAUGCCAAGACUAUUAAUGAAAGUUGACCCAAAUCUCUCUCUCUCUUUCUCUCAAUUCUUAGGACUGAUGCCAAUUCUUACCAUUUAGAAAGAAAAAUUAGAUUGUUUAUAUAUAUGAUGAGUUCCCUCUAAGUCAUGGUUAAGAAAAAUUCUUAGUUUUAUGAAAUGUGAAUUUCCUUUUCGUUGUCUUUAUUCAUUAGUAUUAUUGGGGUUAUUGUAUUAUGAUUGCAAUGCACAGAUACAUGGAUUUUUGACAUUUUUUUUCUCAUUUUUUCUUUUUAAUCGACUCUGACUAUGUCUCAAACUCGAGACAUCAAACCUGGACACGACUUUUGUCCAAAAUGCUUGUAAAAAAUCAGAAGAAUAAUUUUGGACCUUAUUAUUUAAUAAUGGUACGAUUAUGAGAGUCAUUCCAGGUUAAUUAUCAAACUUGUAACUUGAAAAUAAUGUCGACAUCAUGUCAUUAUUAUUUUCUAGUUUCAUAGAAAAAUGAAGUAUUCUCCAACUCGACAUUAUCAUAUUAUUCUCAAUUGGCAGCUCAUGUGAGAAAGACAAGAAAUUCACAAUCAACUGGCCAAGAGAGUGCCAACAAAGAAAGCACUAAAUGGCUUAAACAAAGCAUGCAAAUUUGCUUAGCACUUAAACAAUAGACACCUAAAUCAACCAUGUCACUGUCUUGCCAAAAAAGGGCAUUAAAGUAAAAACAACUCAUGCCUAACACAGGUAACAAACUUCAGCACCUUCACUUCACCGCCACGUCAUCAACAACAUUUGCAAAUUUCCAAGGAAGUCCACGCACUAAAGGUGCCCAUGCCCUUAGGGGACCUCAGGUUAGUGUUCUUAACAUCAACUCCUGUCUUUAUAUUCUUAGGAAAUAUUGAAAUUAAACAUUAUCACUAAUCCUGAUUUCCUUAUGCUAUAUUUGUACACAAUUUGGCAACAAGGUUGUCCUUUUUUGGGCCAAAUUGGACAAGUAAAAAAAAGAAAAUUAAAAGGUUUAUCUGCAAACUGUAGUUCGGCCUGCCUCUUUUUUUUUUUUUUUUGGGGAUAAGAUCGUCAUGUAUCAAUAUUUCUGUACUUAGCAUUGGCUUCUUCUCGCCUGAAGAACACACGAACCACCGGAUGAAAGUGGUGAAUGAAAGUGCACUUAACCCUUUUAAUUUUUCAAAACAAUGCUUUUAGAAAAAAUAAUAAAGACUUUUUUGAAUUUAAUUUUAGAGAAGAAGAAUUUUAAACUUUUUUGAAUUUAAUCUUACAGAAGAAGAAGUUUAAAAUGUACUUUAAUUUUCACAACUGAUGAUGAGAAUAGCAAAAUGUAUACGGACGGUGACAAAAGUGCCGUCUUAUCCUUUUGCUGACGGCCCGUUUUCCAAUGAGAGGAUGCCUCUGCUUCGUAUUUUAUCCAUAUUGAUAUAUAUUCUUUUCUGUCCCCCUAACUAUUAAAUGUGAAAGGUUGCCCACCAAAUUUGACGAAACCGUUUAUCCUAAUUGAUUAUUAUCCAUAGGGCAUAACUUUAAUAUUCUUCUUCCAACCCGUCCGUCAAUGACCACUAACCACCUCUAAUCUAUUCUCAAAUUUUAAUGAAAUUGCGCAAUUAGUUUUCAUUUCUCACUUUUAUUUCAAAUUUGGUCUCAAUUUAAUGUGAAUCCCAAUAAAUAAGACCGGAGUUGAAAUCAAAGAACGUAUUUCAAUCACCAUCGGAUAAAUUCUUCAUGUCUAGUUUUGUCCUUGAGAUGCAUAGAAAAUGUAAGCUGAUCUUGCAGUCUACGAGAAAAACGAAGUCUAAGAGAAUAAUUUUGUCAAAACUUGACAAUGGAAUGAACCGGUGGUCGCUGGUUGGCAGCUGCUAGAAGUCAUAGCAGUUUUAAAACAUAAUUGCAGCAAGUAAAAGAUUAAAACUACGUUGUGUACUGUUAACGACUUACAUUGACAAAAUGGUUAAGGACAGAGUUGAAAGAUGAAUCAAACUGUUCGACAUUCGAUUCGAAUUUGACUUGGUAAAAACUUAUUCCAAUUUGAUUUGUCAGCUAGUCAAAUCUAAUUUAAAUAGUAUUUAACUUUGAAACUUGAUAAAAAGUUUGUUCAAACUCAGUUUACUAAAUAAACAAGUCAAAUUUGAACAAAAUUUCAAACUCAUUAAAAUAAUUAAAUACGUUUGAAUACUAGGAUAUUCGAUUUAAUUAAAUGCGAUUGCACCCCUAAUUAAAGCAUGUACUUUUUUUAUAAAUUUAGGAAUCAACAUUAUACAUUUAAUAGCUAGCUAGAGGGUCAAAAAGUUAAUUGCCUUAAAAUUCUUUUAGCAGCCAUAAAGUAUAGUUGGAGGGAUUCCCUUGAAAUUGAUUAGAUUCUUCUAUGUGACUAAAGAAUUUCGGGUGUGACGUAUUACUAGUCCUACCCUAAAAAAAAUGGUAUUACUAGUCCUUUUUUUCUUUUUUAGCGUGCCCCCGCCGUGGAGUGUGGGGAGGGUGGUCUGUGCGAGAAUUCUAGAUGGGGUACAAGGUGCCAAAGUUCACCUUAUUCAAAGUAAACAACCUUCCAUCUCAGAUGUUGAAUUUCCUGGCAAUUGCGUAUAUAUUACAAUCUUUUACCAUGACUUUAGAGGACAGCUAAAUUUGCUUGCUAUUAAAUAAUAUUUUCGGUAGUCUAUAAAUACUCUUGGUCCUAACUGCUUCUUGCACCACAUAAUUCUUUCAAGAACUACCAAAACCUUCUUGAAAUCCCUCUUUUUCCUUUUAGUUCAUUUCCAAGAAACAAAUUGAACCAUCAUGGCCCCUGUCACUUCCAGUUAUGAGGUCACCUGCUCAAUCCCUCCUGCAAGGUUGUUCAAGGCCACCAUCCUUGAAGAGAAGCAUCUUCACAAGAUCUUGCCACAGGGCGUUAAGAGUGUCGAAAUCCUUGAAGGAGAUGGUGGAGUUGGCACAAUUAAGUUGACCACAUUUGUUGAAGGUAAGAUAUCAAUACAAAGUGAUUAUGUUCACAAAUUUGAAGUCUUCAAAUUGCUCACUUUUUUUUUCUUUUAUUUGGGAAAAGCUAAUGACUUUUUUUUUUUUUUUUGGUUGGGUUAAAUAUUUAGGUGGCGAGCUUAAGACUGCCAAACAGAAAGUUGAUGGAAUUGACAAAGAAAAAUUUACAUACAGUUAUACUGUACUUGAAGCUGAUGGAUUUAACGAUGUAAUCGAGAAAAUCUGUUGUGUCAUCAAAUUUGAACCCUCUGCUGAUGGAGGUUCAAUCUGCAAAACCACUAAUACAUACUACCCCAAAGGUGGUGCUCAGAUCAGUGAGGAACACGUCAAGGGAGGAAAAGAGAAGGGUUUGGGAAUGGUUAAGGCUGUUGAGGCUUACCUCCACGCAAAUCCUACUGCCUACAACUAAUUAUAAUGAAUGCUACUGAAGGACUCUUCGACAUAUUUUCUUCAAGAUUGAAGUAUAAACUGAGGGUGUCUGUUUCCUUUUUUGCUUGGUUUGCUUUAAGCUGUUUGGUUGAGUUAUUUGCAGCUAUGAUCAUAAUAUUUGAUCGAAGUGUGCUUUUCUUGCAAC